AUAUAUGUCUAUGUGUGUGUGUAUGUGUGUGUGUGUUCAAAUGAAAACAUUUUUUAUUGAGUGAACAUUUAAAACAAAUUUGGACCAUAAAUUUCAAACAAAUAAAAAUAUUGUAUCCCAUCUACCCCAACACUACACGACUCCAGCUAGUACACUUUCUUUUUUAAUGGAACAUGGUUGAAACCACCGGAUAACUGUCGUAUUGUCAUCAAUCACCAUCGUAUCAUCGUCGGAAGCUGGAAACGUUGAAACCACCGAACAAUUGCCUUUUCACUCUCUAGAUCUACUAUCUCUACCUUUACUCCUCCCCGUCGGAAACAACCUCUCUCCCUUAUAUCAUCUCUCUAAACCAAGUCAAUCGGACUCACUUUCCAGUGAAAAGCUUUCCCACUUGGUCUACAUUCUACCAGAUUUGAGGCAGAAGGUUUUCCCUAUCUCGUUUCACCGGAUCUAAAGAAGGCAAAAAGAUAUGAUUUUACUGGCGUCCGCCGGUACUGCCAUCAAAUAUGCCGACGACACUAUUAGGUUUAAGCUUUUACCAGAAAUCAAAGAAUCAUCGUCGUUUCAGUAGUCACCAGAUCUGACUUCACCGCCUAUUUAUUGGUCUUCUCAUUUUCUUCGCACCUAUGAUCUUCGUUGUCAAGUUGUACUUCCGAUUUAAAAGAUCUUACUCAUAGCUGUUGAUCUUUGUCAUCGAUCCAAGUGUACUUCUAAUCCGACCUGACCUUCUCGUAGUUCACCAGAUCAAACCCUCGAAUAAGAGCAGAGACGCGGUCGGAAAGUGACUAAAGGUACGAUUUCAUUGUUGUGGAUCGGUGCCUAGUGAUGAGCUUAUGAGUUGUGGAGGUGACGAACGACGUCCUCCUCUCGAUGUGAAUCCGAUUGUUAAUGGUGUCGAUGUCAUCAAAUGGAGACGUGGAUGGAGAGUAGUGUUUAAGAGAUCAAGAGCUAGAUCAAGCUUAGUGGUGGCUUCUAAGGGAAAUUGAGAAAAGUAGGCGGUUUCAUUUUUCUUGGAGCUAAACUUGCAAAAAUUUUGGCAAGUGAUUUUUGCUUUUAUUUUAUAUUCAUAAAGAAAAAUAAAUGUUCUUUGGUUUUUGGAACGAUUAAAAUAUCUGAUUAUAGGUUGGCGUGUAAGGUGAUAUCAACGCCAAGAGUAAAAGCAACAAUUCUUUAACCUUUAUUCUAUGACUAAAAGCAAGACUAAAAAAAAGAUACAUUUAAAAGUUUUCAAAUAAUUCUUAACAACUUAAUUUUAAGAAAUAUAACUAAUUAGAAUUAGUCUAAUAAAUCAAAUUUUUAAAUAGUUCUAGAUUUCAAGAAUACCAUAAUUAACCCCAAGUUUUACAACUUUAAAAAUCUAGAUAGCCUAUGAAUUUUUUUAAACAUGUAAAAUUGCAUAGUUUUGGCGUAGGCUAACUACGAUAACUAAAGUGAAUUGCAAAAAUCUUGACUAGGUUGAAAAAAUCUCAUCGGUUAGAAAUCUCAUCAUUUUAUUAUCCACAUAAAUCAUAUUGUAUGUGAUAAAAUACAUAUAAUCACAUGCUAUUAUAUUUAUCUAAACAAAUAUGAUUUAUACGUACAAGAUUUAUUUUCACAUAUUUGAUUCAAUAAAUUUUCUCAUAUAUUUAGUCACAUUUGAUUAUAUGUAUCUAAUCACAUUUGAUUUAUAUGGACAAAAACGAGUCUUAUACAUAUAAAUAAUAUGUGAUUAGAUACAUAUAAUCACAUGUGAUUAUCUACACAAUAACAACUAUUGAAUCAAGAACACAAUCUUUUGUACAUAAAUCAUAUGUGAUUAAAUACAUAUCAUCACAUAUGAUUAAAUACACGAUACCAAUUACUGAAUCAAAAACAUGAAAAUAAACAUUGUCCAUAUAAAUCAUAUGUGAUUAAAUAUAUAUAAUCAUAUGCGAUUAUGUGUAUCCAAUUGCUUAUAGUUUAUGUGGACAACAUUCAUUUUUGCAUUCACGAUUCAAUAAUUGUUCUUUGUCCACUUUAAUCAUAUGAGGUUAGAUACAUUUAAUCACAUGUGAUUAUAUGUAUCUAAUCACACAUGAUUCUUUUUUGGAAAAAAGUAAUUUUAUCUAUAGAAAUCAUAUAUGAUUAGAUACAUAUAACCACAUAUGAUUAUAUACACGGGAACAACUAUUAAAUCAAGGACGUGAAAACAAAUCUUUUCCAUAUAAAUCAUAUGUGACUAACUACAUAUAAUGACAGGUAAUUAAAUACAUAAAAUAAAUUAUUGAAUCGAAACCACGAAAAUAAAUAUUGUCUACAUAAAUCAUAUAUGAUUAAAUAAUCACAUGUGAUUAUAUGUGGACAAGAUUCAUUAUCCCGUUUUCGAUUCAAUAAUUGAUCUUUGUCGACUUUAAUCACAUGUGAUUAAAUACAUUUGAUCACAUAUGAUUAUAUGUAUCUAGUCACAAAUGAUUUAUAUGGACAAAAAAAUAUUGUCUAUAUAAAUCUUAAUUGAUUACAUACAUAUAUUGACAUAUGAUUAUAUACACAAGAAUAACUAUUGAAUCAAAAACACACAAAAAAUUGUCCACAUUAAUCAUAUGUGAUUAAAUAAAUAUAAUCAUAUAUGAUUAUAUAGAUGAGAAAAAUUAUUGAAUGCAAAACAUAGAAAUGAAUGUUGUCUAUAUAAAUCAUAUAUGAUUAAAUACAUCUAAUCACAUGUUAACUAUAUACACGAGAACUAUUUAAUCAAGAAUGUGAAAAUGAAUCUUUGUCUGCAAUAAUCAUAUGCGAUUAAAUACUCAUAAUCACAUUUAAUUAAAUAUGUGAGAAAUACUAUUAAAUAGAAAAUGCAAAAAUAAACAUUUUCCAUAUAAAUCAUAUGUGAUUGGAUACAUAUAAUCACAUGUGAUUAUAUGAUUCUAUUCACAUAUGAUUUAUGACGACAAUAUUCAUUUUCAUGUUCUUGAUUCACUAGUUGUUCUUUAGCAACUUUAAUCAUAUGUGAUUAAACACAUUUUAUAAUAUGUGAUCAUAUGUAUCUAAAAAUAUAUGUUUUAUAAGGACAAAAUUGAAUAUUGUCUAUAUAAAUCAUAUAUGAUUAGAUAUUUAUAUACACCAUAACAACUAUUGAAUCAAAAACGCAAAAACAAAUAUUUUUCUGCAUUAAUCAUAUUUGAUUAAAUAUUAUAUAAUCAGAUAUGAUUAAAUACAUGAGAAAAAUUAUUGAAUGGCGACCAUGAAAACGAAUCUUAUCUAUAUAAAUCAUAUGUGAGUAGAUACAUAUAAUCAUAUGUGAUUAUAUGUAUUUAAUCACAUGUAAUUUAUGUGACAAAAUAGUAAAUACAUAUAAUCACAUAUGAUUUAUGUAAUUAUAUGAAUUUAAUCACAUGGGGUGAUGGAGUCACACCCCUAAACCAGAACGGCGGAAACAUCUUGGGGCGGAUGGAGUGACUUCAUAUACAGUAUCAUAAAAGUUGAAUAUAAAUGAAACAUAGCAACCCAAGCAGCAUACAAUGAGAAUACAAACUUACAUUGUUUACAUACUGUAUCUAUUCAUAAGUUAAACACAAGUGACUAAAAAGUAAUAAUUUCCAAAAUGCAGCAAUCCGGUUCUCAAAGACUUAAGUACCUGCUUACUGGUUCCCUGAGAAUACAAGUCAUUUUAAAAAGCGUUAACUAUAAAGUUGGUGAAUUCAUAAGCAUUUUGUAUGAAAAGGGUUUGUAACUGUUUUGCGAAAAAUGGUUUCGUAUACUUCCAGAAAAUCCGAUAUUUUAUUUAAUAGGAACUACAAUUGUAUGUAAUUCCUUUGUAUCUUUUCCUUGUAAAGUAAUAAUGUAUGUUUCCAGAAAAUCCAAUAUUUUCUUAAAGGUGAAUUGUAAUUAUAUGUAAUUCCUUUGUAUCUUUUCCUUGUAAAGUAAUAAUGUAUGUUUCCAGAAAAUCCAAUAUUUUCUUAAUUAUGAAUUGUAAUUGUAUGUAAUUCCUUUGUAUCUUUUCCUUGUAAAGUAAUAAUGUAUGUUUCCGGAAAAUCCAAUAUUUUCUUAAAGGUGAAUUGUAGUCUUAAACCCUAAGACCAAAGUGUAAGUAAAUGUUGUACUGCAUAUAAUAUGUAGUUUUAUUUCUUUUUAUAAAACUGAUAAAGUGUAAGCUUCACGUAAACCAAGUAGUUUCGCUAAUCCCUAUGUGAGUUAUUAUAACCAUGCUUGAUAUGACUGAUAUGCCUGAACGACGUUCUUCAGGCAUAAGAUUUGGUAGACUUUUGUCACCCAAGACUUGUCAGUCUAACUAUAGUGAACAGUUGAGGUGUGGGGUUGUCAAUCCUAUAUAGAUCUAUACACAACGGUCUCCCUCUCCCUUAAGGAGACUCUAGUUAUAAUGUAGGACUUAAGGUGUACGCUAGGUAGGUACGGUGAAGGAACAUCUCACAAGAGCAUUAACAGAUUUACGUGAACUAUGACUCCCUUUUUCUUGUAAUAUUAAAAAUUAUACUUUUGAGUAAUUAUAUGUGUCCUCUGAAAAUGAUCAUAUGGUUGUGUAGCUGUCAAAAUAUACUGUUUAUAGUUUACAUGGUUUGUUUGAAAAUAUUCAUAGAAUUCUUUAUAUAAAUGUUUAUGUGCAUUCUUAUCUAGUAUCAAAAUAUGAAGUUUAAAACAUAAAGUUUUGGGGUUGUAACUCACCAAAGUUUUAAAUGACUGUAAUUUAACCAUUUUUUCUAGAAGAGCUGAAUUUUAGUAAAAGUUUCCAAAAAUCAUGUAGUUUACAAUCAUAAAUUUUAUUAUGCUUUUUAUCACAUAGAUUAUGUUUGUUUUUAACAAUAUGUAUAUCACAAAUAUUUAUACCAAAAUUAGUAUAAACCAUAACUUGCACAAAUAAUAUUUUAUCUUUAACCUACAGAUGAAAGCAUGUAAUUAUUUAUGGGAUAAACAAAGUUUUACUUGUAUCCCCCCCCCCCCCCCCAAGCAUGGAAAAAGCUUGAAAAUAUGGGGGUAUGAAAUCACAUUGAGUGAUUUUGUGUGGGUUAUUUGAAGUCAUGAAGUGAAGAUUUCAUGCCUAAACUCUUGGAUGACAUUGUUGAACUUCUUUGGAAAAAGUAUUGUCCUAAGUGUUUAACACAUUUUAAUAUGUGUAAAUAGAAUGUAACAACAUAAAGUUGUAUUGGAGAACUAGAGGAUCACGAAAUGCUUAUGAAAAUUUAAGGACCAAUCUUGGAGAAUUAAGCCCUUAGCGAAGCCUUACACUUGUUCUUAAAGGGGGAAAGUUAAGGAGAAUAUGAGAGAAGUUGGAGUGGUAAAGGAAUGAUGGGGGUGAUAGCUUAUUUUAUUUCCUUAUUUUUAUAAAUUUAUUUUACUAUUUUUAGCUCUUUUUAUUAGUUUUGCAUUGUAUAUUCUUUAUUUUCUUUAUCAUGGAUCAUGUCGGGUACUUUCUAUUUUGCAUGAGAUAUUUUGUAGGGUUUUGGAGCUCAUUGCGGUUGCGGUUUGAUAGGAUUUGGGCUUAGUGGGCUUCUCGGUGCUUUAUUAGGCUUUAAGGAUCCAUCACUAGAAAUAACAUGGCCGAGAAAUUGAACGUGGCGAAGCCAAAAUUCACAUUUCGAGAAUUUAGCAUAUAGUUUCUCCUUUCGAAGAAGUUCUAAUAUCGCGUGAAUAUGAAUGGCAUGAUCAGCUUCAGACUUAAAAUAGAUUAGAAUAUCGUCAAUGAAUACAAUGACAUAUUUAUCGAGCAUUGGGCGGCAUACCCGAUUCAUCAAAUCCAUGAAUACAGCAUGAGCAUUUGUUAAACCAAAUGGCAUAACAAGGAAUUCAUAAUGCCCAUAUCGAGUACGAAAAGCAGUCUUCGGUACAUCAUGCUCGUGAACUUUCAACUGAUGAUAGCUAGAUCUUAAAUCAAUCUUCGAGAAAUAGCUAACACCCUAAAGUUGAUCAAAUAAAUCAACAAUGCGAGGUAGUGGGUACUUGUUCUUGAUAGUCACCUUAUUCAGCUCACGAUAAUCAAUGUAUAUCCACAUCGAUCCGUCAUUUUUCUUGACAAACAAUACCGGAGCACCCCAUGGAGAGGUAUUGUGAAAACUCGAAAUUUCUAUCUUAUAACAAACCCUGCAUUCAAUCAAAGUCAAACUUUCUUUUGCUAAAUUUUAGCAGUUUUGGAGUCAAUUUGGGUGUUUUGAUCUUAAAUACAUCAGAGGUAAGUAUAGGAAGUAUACUAUAGAGUUACUUUUUCAACACUUAAGUCUCAAAACUCCAAGAGUUUGGAGUUUACGGCCAUAACAUGGAGUUUACGGCCGUAAACUCUAAGGUAUAAAUAUGGCACAAGUCAUUUUAUGUCAUUUUUACCAAUUUCAAGCCUAGAACUCAUUCUCUCUAAAGUAUCAUCCGAGUUUCUCACUAGAUCUUCAACUUUGUAAGUGAUUCUUUCCUUGAUCAGUUGAUAUUCUUCAAUAUCUAGUGGUUGUGGAUGAUUUCAUCCAUGAAAUCUCUUCAUUUGAUUGAUCUUCAAGUGUUCUUCAUUUCACCAAGAACACCAAGAACACACACUAGUGUGCUUGAGCCAUAAGUACCCUUACAAGAUUCUAUAUUGUAAGUACUCUUGUCUUAGCGUGUUCUAUGCUUAAAUCAACUAGUUUACACCUAAAAAUCAUCAAGAAAUCAUCAUCAAAAGGGAGUUUAUGACCAAGGAACCUCCUUGGGCCGUAAACUCUAUUUAAGGGUCCAAAUGACCCCUAAUCCUUUCCAAAGCCUUGGGAUCAAGUCUAGAACACUUCCAUCAUAAGCUAGGGACCUAAAAAUGUGAUUUGGUACAUAAUACCAUGAGUUUGCGGCCGUAAACUCAUGGACAAAUGGUCCUUAGGCCGUAAACUCUAGUUAGUGGUGCAACGGUGCCACCAUUCCUUCCUAGGGCUUAGACUUGAUCAUAGAACUCUUCAUAUUGACUUGUAAGAACUUAUAACACAUCAUGGUACUUAAUACCAUGAGUUUACAGCAAUAAACUCAUGGGGAAAUUACCCCUUGGCCGUAAACUCGUGUGGUUCUUACCAUAUGGGCCAUAAACUCCCAAGUGAGGCUCUACACCCCUUAUGUGCAACCCUAUGUGGUUUAACACUUCAGUACAAGUGUUUCCUAGUCCCUAAGGUUGUUCCAUUACAUAAUUAGUUGUUAUAAACACUAAUUGUAAGCAUAUAUGUGUCAUUAUAUGUUAAAUAGGAUCCGUGUGUGCUCAAGUCUUCACUUGACACUUAGCAUCCUUUACAGAUCUUACAUUCGCAUCACUCACUUUAGGUGAGUUCAUACUCCUUAACUUAUCUUUUAAAUGAUUUUAAAUGCUUUAAUGGGAGGGGAGGGGGGAACACAAGUAGAAAACAUACUAGUUAUAAGAUCAAUCACAUGUGAUUUAUAACUGUGUUUCAAUCAAGGAUUUCAUAUACUUUAAACUAUGUUUCAAAACAAACUACUUUUAAACCGUUUUGUAAACUGACAUCAAGUCAUUAUUUAUUUAUUGUUCAAAACUCUUUAAAUGUAUUACAAAACGUCUUUUUAACUUAUAUAUACUGUCAAAAGCAUGUAUAUAUAUGUAUAGUUAUAUACAUAAUGUUUAAAGGACUUAGGACUGCUAGCUCGCUUCAUUUCCUUUUCCUUGUUUGGAUGUGGACUUAGGGUAACGACCAGUUGUCCGAAGGUCGACUAAAUAUUAGAUAUAUAUUACGUAUACAUAUGUAGACAUAAAAGUUCUAUUCAAUCAGUUCAGUACCUUUGGGUAGCAAAGGUAUACAUUCAUCUAUUCAUAUACAUAACUUACUAGUAAACUAUAAUAGGUAUAGUUUAGGAGAAUACUAUCAUAUACAAAUACUAUAGUAGAGAAUACUAUAACAGAGAAUACUAUAACAGAGAAUACUAGACAGAGAAUACUAUACAAAGGAUACUAUACAUAGAAUACUAUUACUAUAACAAGUAUACUAUAACAAGAUUUAGAUAUAACACAAUGUGAGAUACUUCUUCAUGACACAUCGACCAUUUCGUUAUGUCACAUUUUGUAACCAUAAUCUCCUGGAGGGAGAGCGUGAGUUUGUGUAUAGAUCUAUACUGGAUUGAGUAUCCUACACCUUUGCUGUUCGCUACAGUGGGACCUGCAAGUCUACGGGUGCCAAAUGUCAUUUCAUCCGACGUCUUUCAUCGUCGUCUUAUAGUCAGAUUAGUAUGGUAACAAUCAUAUCACAUUUUGCCUUAAUUAAACCAUUGGUUUUAAGGUAAUUAUUACUUCGAUGAUUAAUACAAAUAAUACUGUAGUACACAUAUACAUUUUCCAAUUAUAUUCAAAUUGUGAUCUUCUCACAUAAAGGGUAAUAUAAAACUAUAUUUUGGUAAUGAUAGUCAUACUUGGGAAAGCAUUCAAUUUUACAAAGGAACAAAUAUACAAAACAGUCGGGUCUUGGUAAAAGACUACUUUUUUAUACUAGUAGAAAAUAUAAGAUUUUCUAGGAGUUUUCAAACAUAUACAAACAUUUACAUUGUUCAAUUACAAACAUUUUCAUCAAACUUAUACAAACAUUGACACUAAAUACUUAUGAACUCACCAACUUAAAUGCUGAUCUACGCUUUCCAAAUAACUUGUAUUCUCAGGUCACCAGUAGACAUGUACUGAUGAUCAGGUUUUGAGAAGACGAAGCAUCUUCAAGACUCGUCUUUUAUUUUGAUUAUUCAUUUUUGGUUUCUUAUUACUAUUAAAGAACACACUUGUAUGAAAUUAUACUAUUAAUGCAAUGGAUAAUGUUGUUGCUUAUUUACUACUUUGCAUUGUUAUGAAUUGUACAUGNCUCCGCCCUAGAACGUUUCCGCCAUUCUUGGUUUUGGGGUGUGACAGAUUGGUAUUAGAGCAUUGUUUAAAGUGAAUCGAGUAUAUCAGCCCAUAAAAGAUAUACAAACUAUAAACACAACUGGAUAAAAAUACUCUAACCAAGAGUUUAUACUUUUAACUACUAAAAUACUUAAUUAGAAGUAUAUAUAAUUACAUACCUACCUACUUACUAUAGAUCAGUGUCAUGUUAGAACAUAACAAAAGUAUUAUUUUUGUUGAACAUCACAAGUGAGCUCAGGGAUGUAUGGUCAGUUCUGGGAAUGACAUAGCCUGAUCAACUAUGUUGGUCCGAGAAGUGAUUAGCAUAUGCCGAGAAUGGUUGUGAUGUAUCAACAAGUCUAAGAACUUACCAACACUACUACAAUGAGAACAUUAGAACAUAACAUAAACUUAAAAUACUAUAGGAGUAUUUUGUGUUACUAUAAUUACUUAUUUGAGAACUAAACAGGUCUUUAUUAGUAUGUCAAUAGUUGUUGAGUGGAUACACUACGGUUAUAUGUAACUAUGGUGGCAUAGACUUAGAAUCUAUGACCGUUGCUUUACUUCUUGUUCCUUGUUUGGUUGUGGACAUAGGGUUAGGAUCACUUAUUCGAAGGUCUAUCCUGUUUUGAUUACGUAUGACUGGUAUGCACUACGCAAAUGUUGGAGUAACUAAUAAAGAUCAUCUUAUAAUUAUUUUAGUUAGUACGUCUAUUAAUUAUUUCUUAUACCCAUUUUCUUGUGUAGAUAUCAUGGCUGAAUUCCACAUCCCCGGAGACCCGUACUUCCUAAACCAGGGCAAUGUUGGAUGGCUAGAUGAAGAGCCAGAAGAUGAACAUCCAAUCCUUUUGGAUGAUCACCUCGCAUAAGGCUUUUCAGAUGGUUCCGACUCCGAACCAGAAGUCAACAACCUACCUCAAGUAGUUCAAAACCCAAAUCUCAACCCCUGACCUGCAUUUCAAGGUCCCACACCCUUAUGGGCGACAAACUUGAAUCGUUGGAGUGAUGAGCAGGGUCAACCAUUACCCUUUAAUGGAGACCGAAGCUUUUACAAUCUCAGCGAAGGAGGCUCUGCUGACCGAGUCCUGCCUGUUAUGGUCCACAUGAUUGCUCGGAAUAUUGAGCAAGGUAGAGCAGCUAUCGACCGAGUCAUGGAAAUUGACGCUAACUCUAGCGUUAACACGGUCCACAUUCGCCGACUCGAAGAAGCCAUGGAAAGGACUAGAAGAACCAAUGAGGCUUUGCAGCAACAGCUAGCUGCAUCCCGCGAUGAGGUUAUAGAACUUCGAGUGCAUCAGAGAGCUCAUGAGCGACAUCUUAAGGACGUAGUACGUCAACUGGAAGAUCUGAGCAUUCGCCCGCGGAAUACCCGUCGCCAGUAGAAGAUGUCUGACUCAUAUUUUCUUUUGGUUUAAGGAAUAGCCUUUCGUAUCAGUGCUCUAUGAAACACUUUUCUGUAAACUAUUCCUGUUAUUCAAGUACUUUAACUAGACUUCUAAGCUGUCAAAGUUUUGCUACUUCUGAUAUGAUGUAAGACCUACUCUUAGGUCAAACUUUCCCCAAACUUAUUACAUCCUUAAUAUUAAUGAUAUUGGCAGUUAGCUAAUCUUUUAUAGAAAUCUUUGUUCAAAUACAUUCAUCCUUGUGAUUCUAGAAUUCUAUGGAACUCAUACUCUUAUCUAGUUGUUGAACUAUGGCGAUUUAGUUCAUGGGACUCAUUCAUUAACUUCACUAUUGAAUUCUUAUUAUUGUACUCAUAUUUUAAACUUAUAGUUGAAAGAUGCCUCCCCGCAAGUCAGCACGGCGUAAUCCUCGGAUUAUUCCAACUCAAACACCAACUCCUCCACAAUUUGAUACGACAGCUCUCAAUGUUGCGGUAGUUACGGCUGUUGCUACAGCCAUGGCACAAUAUCACAACAACCAAGGAACAAGUGGAGGUGGAACAGUCGUUCAUUCCACACAAGGUGACGUCGUCGUGCGCUCGCAAAAGUGCACUUAUAAAGACUUCACCAACUGUAAACGAUUCGCAAUGGUUCGAAAAGACGAUUCGAUUUUUGAGAUCUAUUCCUGUACUGAAGGAACCAAAAUAAAAUUUGUUGCAUGCACCUUCAGUGAUAGAGCCCUGACGUGGUGGAAUAGCCAUGCCAAGUCACUAACCUUAAUAGUGGCAAAUGUUAUGGGACGGGAAGCUCUUAAAGGGCUGAUGGUUGAAGAAUACUGCGCGAGGGGCGAGGUUCAGAAGAUGGAACAAGAACUCUGGAGUCUGACCAUGAAAGGCUCCAACAUAGUGGCUUACACUGCCAGAUUCAGCGAUCUGGUGGCUCUAUGUCCUGAUAUGGUUCCCACUGAGGGGAAGAAAAUCGAGAGGUACAUUUAGGGGCUAGUGCCUCCAUUUCAGGGGAACGUCUUAGCUUCAAACCCCGAAAAUGACAACAUCCCUGGCUAUCUCGGAACCCUCCAAAGCCGCUGAUAACAAGCGGAAGUUCUAGGAUAACAAGAAAGGCAAAUCGGCACAGAACUCGGCCAAGAAGCAGCAAGUGGUGGCUAUUAAUGCCGCGAUUGUACCUACUGCUACAGCGACAAGGAAGCUGUAUACCGGGAAUUUGCCCAAGUGCAACAAAUGCACUUUCCAUAAUAAUGGUGCAUGCCGGGAAAUGCAGUACGCUAACUGCAAUAGGAAAGGGCACACUGCCCGAUUCUGCAAGGCUUCGGCGAGGCCAAUUAACAAAGUCCCCGUCAUUGCGGUGGGCCAGGCUUGCUACAAUUGUGGCAAGGUUGGUCAUUUCAAGAGAGACUGCCCGAAGGCAGGGAAUGCUGGCGGAGUGGGAAUAAUUCUGGCGAUAGGCCAUGAGGAAGCCGUAGCUGAUCCUACGAGAGUUACUGGUGCGUUUCUCCUCGAUCAUUCAUAUGCAUGUAUACUAUUCAAUAGCGGGGCAGAGAGAAGCUUCGUAAACUAGAAAUUUGUUCACUUACUUAAGCAAAAACCACGUGCACUAAAGGAAUCAUUCACUGUAGAAAUGGCGAAUGGGAAAAUAGAAAGUACUAACUGCAUAUGCAUAGGUUGUACUCUAACUCUUGAUGGUCAUUCUUUCCAAAUAGACCUCAUGCCGGUCUCUAUUAAAAGUUUCGACGUCAUAAUCGGCAUGGAUUGGUUAUGUUAUCGUCGCGCCGACAUCAUGUGCUUUGAGAAAGCAAUUCGUCUUAACCUCCCUAACAACGAAGCUCUAGUUAUCUACAACGACAAAUCUAGUACAAACCUUCGCAUCAUUUCAUGUAUUAAAGCUUAAAAGUGCUUGCGAAAAGAAUAUCAUGCAUUCCUUGCACACAUCGUCGAUACGAGUCAAGAAGUGAAGGACAUUAAAAACAUUCCAGAAGUACGUGACUUUCCCGACAUCUUUCGAGAAGAACUUCCGGGAUUACCACCACAACGCCAAGUCGAGUUCAGAAUCGACUUAGUGCCAGGGGCUACUCCAGUAGCCAAAUCUCCAUAUCGUCUGGCACCAGCAGAGAUGCAGGAGCAUUCCAGUUAGCUUAACGAACUUCUUAAGAAGGGAUUUAUUAGGCCAAGCUUCUCACCAUGGGGAGCACCAGUCUUGUUCGUCAAGAAGAUAGACGGAUUGUUUCGUAUAUGCAUCGACUACUGUAACGCCCCGAUUUUUCUCGGUACGUUUGGUUAUUUAUUUUUAAUUAUCCUUGUAACCUUGGGUUAAUUUAUUUAACCAAUGUCUGAUUUCUUAUGUUAUUGGACUCUUUUGAUCAUCUUGUAAACUCAUUUUAUUGAAGGCCAUGGACUAUGGGCCUAUUUGCAAAGUCCAUCUAGUAAAUAGUACUUAAUGUGUUAAUUGAGUCAUUUGGAACACACACAAUAAAAACACUCUAAACCCUCCCUCUCUCACUCUAAAAUCGUCCUCUAUCUCUUUGGGAUCAAGAUCAGCCAAGGGGAUGUUGUUUGGAGCUUAAUUCUUGUUCAUUUCCAGCCUUGAUUCAUAUUGGUAUGAACCUCCUUAUCAUUUCUUACAACUUGAUUCAUAACCUUGUUCUAGUUUUAUGAUUUCAUCUUCACUUCUUCUCCUUCUCCUUCUUAUUUGAUUUGUAAUUGUAUGUUAUACAUCAUCUCAAGGUCCUAUCUUCACCCCAUAUAUGGUGGAUGAUGGAUCUAGGGGAUUACAUGUGGCAAAAGAUCAUGGAAACCCUAAAAGGGAGAAUGGUGAUUUUAUGUGCUUUAUGUUCAUUUUCAUGUUGAUUGUUAUUACAAUCUUGUGGCAAAAUGAAAUCCUAAUGAUACCUAACCCUUUUUAGUACCACCAUUAUCAUGGGGACUAAAUUGGGAUGAUGAACACAUCUUAAAAUGUGUUUCAAAGGGAGAAGGAUGGAUAAGCCAAAAAGGAAUCACGGGUGGCUACGAUUCUGUUUUCCAUCAGAUCUGUAGUCAUUUUGUAAAACUCAUAUCUUGAGCUCUAGAACUCAAACGGACCCCAAACCAGUUCCAAAAGUUCACAAAUUGAGUUGGCUAACUUUCUUAAGAAGGCCAACCUCACUGAUAAGGACUUUAUCUAUGUGAAAGAAUGGCAUCUUUGCUGUUAGGUCUGAUCCGGGUCUGUUCUGAUAUGUCAUUUUGUUUUCAUCAUUUCUAAGGCUUGGAAAAGGAUCCAGAGUGAUUCCAAGUUUCUAUAUGUUCCUUAUAUUAUGAAUUUAAGAUCUGGAGAAUAUGGGGUGUUAUUUCCAAUUAUAAAUUGGUUAGAAUGGAUCCACACUCCAGGUCAGUGGGCAGUCACCAGCUUUUGCUAGUGCUGUGAUUGUCCACAAUGUGAAUUUUAUAUCUGGAGUUUGGGAGAUGCUUUUCAUUCAAUUCCAACUCUGAGACUUUCACUUGUAUGUCCUUUACUUCUCUUAAUUUUCUUUUGGACGAAUUCUACUCACAAGUUGGGUAGAAUUGGCCAACAUCACUUGACUGUAUUGUUGGAGACAGAAGUGAUACACCAUUUUGUAAAAUUCAUAUUUAAUUCAUCUUUUGGAGUUAGAAUGAGUUCUUUAUAGUUAUGGAAUCCUGAGCAAUCAUAGUUUCCUAUAAAAUUUAGUUAAAGCUAUGUUUCUGUUUUAGAUUUUGGAGUAAAUCCGUUUUGAACAGCAGGUCUGUUUUAGAGACCUUGCUGUGAUUACUCUUUUCUCAACUCAUAGCUUCAUUACUUCUCCUUUCUAACCUUUAGUCCUUCUUAGGCGAGGUUUUGAAGUUUGCUCAAGCUUGGUAGCAUUAUUUGAUUGUUAGCCAUCCUUAAUACUCACUCAAGGUGAGUUCUCUCACACCGUUGUAUUGAUGAUUGUGUUUGCUAGUUAGCUCGUGUGUGAUUAUUUGAAUUUAUUAUAAAAGCAUGCUAUAUAAGUAUUGUUUUAAUUCGUACAUGUGCACUGUAUGUAACUAAUUAUGGAUAUGGGGACACCACCAAAGGAUACGGAUUUACCGGUGCGGUGGGUAGGUAAGAUCACCAACGUAAUACUCUUCGUGAGGUGCGGUGAUUAGGGCCAAAUGAUACGGGAUCUUCCCGGUGCGGUUCAAACCUACAAGUCCUUCUCGUAAUAUAGACAUUGAUUCGUUCUUUGCCUUUAUCAUUAUAAUUGGAAAAUGGAUUAGGGCUAGUAAAUAUGAAUGUUAGUACAAUGUCUGUGUUUGAAUUCACUAAGCUUCGUGCUUACGUUUUUCCCUUAUAACUUUUCAGGUGUUAAGAUUAAAGAGGCUAAGGCUUGACAUGGAGCAUCGGGACAUCGCUACUAGUUAUUUUGUUGGGACCUUAUUAUUAUUAUUACUUCCGCACUUAUUUUAUAUGAUUAUUAAGUUGAUGGAUUAUGUUAUGACUAUUUCAGUUGUUUUAAUUUAAUUUAAGAUGGGUUUUAAAAGUUUAAAAUUUUUGAAAAAAUUUGGGUGUCACAAGUUGGUAUCAGAGCCACAGUUUGAGGGAACUAGGCAUUCUUGUGGAUGUUCUAGACUCAAAUUUGAGGCUCUAUAAGAGUUUAUUUUCUUUUUUAAAUAUUUUUCUAACCUUCUGAAGACUAGUAGUGGAAGAUGUCGCGGUGUGCCAGUCAGCCAGCCAAGUAAGCCUUAUUUCUUAUGUUAAAUGUUUAUGUUAAAUUGUUGACUAUGAAUUGGAUUCUACUAGCCUUAAAAUAUUAGAUUACACACUUAGUUAGUGUUAACAUGUGAGAGAGUUGUAAAAUUAACGGCUAGAGCGAACUGGAAAUUUUGAAACUAGACGCGAAUGCGAAAUUGGAACUUGUGUGGAAGGUAGUAGAAGGGCCCCUACUAUUUGAAACAUUGGUGUCGGUUUUGAGUCGGGGCAAGGUUGAAAAAUUUUCGGCAAGCUGAGUGUUUUGUCUUCCUAGUAAUAUCUAGGCUGAAUUGUUUCUAAGAUUUUCCUUCUUCUGUGGAUACCAAUGGCUCCGCCUGCUCGACUUAAUCAACUCCAAAUGGAGCAAGUUAGGGAUAUUGUCGCUAAGGAAUUCAAUAACGGUUUCAACGAACUAAUCCCGGGUGUGACCAACAACAUAAUCAACCAAUUCGGUGCUCUUCUAGAUGAGCGCCUCACGGAUUUUCCCGGGGAAGCGUUACUGGCUCUGUCUGUUCAGGAUUCGGCAUACUACUUCGAGAAGUUCAACAAGUGUAGCCCUCCUCUUUGGAAUGGUGAAUCCGACCCAGUUGCUGCUAAGCCCUGGGUGUCAGAUGUUAAGGGCGCCUUCAUAAGUGUUGGGUGUCCAGACCAGUACAAAGAAGUGAUCGCCAUGAAUCAGUUGUGAAAAAGGGGAAAGACAUGGUGGAACACCAUCACCGCUCUAUUGGAUGAAGAAGAAGUGAGGGCCAUGUCUUGGGCCCAAUUUGUUGAGAGGUUCGAGGCACAAUAUGUGCCUAAGGUGGAGCAGCAGCGGAUGCAGCAAGAGUUCAUGGCUUACAGCAGANGAUGCAGCAAGAGUUCAUGGCCUUACAGCAGACUACCGAGUCCAUUAGUGACCUGAACGCCAAGGUCUUGGAGAUGCUAUCUUUUUGCCCCUCGUUUGCUGGGAACGAGGCCUGGUUAGUCAGCUGGUACACGGCCAUCCUACAUACUGAGAUUCGGGAAUUCGUUAGCAUGCAGGAGUUCUCGACUUUAUCUGCGAUCAUGAAUGUAGCGAGGAGGAGGGAAAUCGAGUUGCAGACCCAGUCCAAGAGGAAGGCCAAUGACACCUCUUCCAAGACAUCCAGAGAUGCCCAGAAAAAGCAAAAGCAAGGUAUUAAGUCAACGUAUGAGUAUAGGACAUCUUCAGGGCGAGAAAAAUCUGUUGAUAUGCUACAACUGCAAAAAUCCAGGGCAUCAUUGGAAGAAUUGUAGGGAUCCCCCUGCGAGUGCAGUACCUCAUAUUACUUCUGCAGUUCCCAUCUGCUAUCACUGCAACGAGACGGGACACAAGAAGCCUGAAUUCCCGAAGUUGAAGACUGGUAAAGGAGACGGGGGUACAAAUCCUGCAAUUACGUCUUCCUCUAAGGGAACCACUAUGGUGACACGAGGUCGUGCUCACCAGAUGACUGUGGAGGAGCCGGUGAUUACAACGACAGUGGCAGACACUUAUUUGCUAGAUUCCAAGCCCGAUGUUGUUAUGUUUGAUAGCGGUGCUACCCAUUCUUUUGUAUCUCACACGUUUAUUAAUCGUUUGGGGCGUAGUAUCGGAAAAUUGGCUCACCCAAUGGUUGUCGAUGUUGUCGACAACCGCACUAUUUAUGUCACCGAUGUCUAUCGGGGUUGCACUCUCGAGUUUUCUGGAGUUGAAUUCCCUAUUGAUCUUAUCCCUAUUGCGAUGCGAGAGCUCUGCGUUAUCGUAGGCAUGGAUUGGCUUGAUGCGUUUGAUGCGGAAAUCCACUGUCGUAAGAAGCAAGUUCGUGUUCGAAACCCUAGAGGUGGAGAACUUAUUAUUCAGGGGGACAUUCCCCGCCUGGCUAUGGCUUCUUGCUCUUCUGCUAUAGCACUAGACGACGUUCCUAUCGUUUCCGACUUCAGCGAUGUCUUUCCGGAGGAACUCCCUGGCUUGCCACCUAUUCGGCAAGUGGAGUUUCGCAUUGAUUUGGUGCCAGGUGCGACUCCGGUAGCGAAAUCUCCUUACCGCUUGGCACCACCUGAAAUGAAAGAGCUCCAAGAUCAACUUCAAGAUCUAAGUGAUAAAGGGUUUAUACGGCCAAGCUGCUCGCCUUGGGGUGCUCCUAUUCUCUUUGUGAAGAAGAAAGAUGGAUCCCAGCGAAUGUGUAUUGAUUAUAGGGAGCUAAACAAGCGCACGAUAAAGAAUAGGUACCCGUUGCCACGUAUUGACGAUCUUUUCGAUCAGCUUCAGGGAGCAUCUUGGUUUUCCAAGAUUGAUUUACGUUCCGGUUACCAUCAGAUGCGUGUUCGUGAAGAAGACAUUGAGAAAACAGCAUUCCGUACUCGAUAUGGGCACUUUGAAUUCGUAGUGAUGCCUUUUGGGCUCACCAAUGCACCCGCAGCGUGCAUGGAUCUCAUGAGCCGGGUGUGUAGCCUGAUGCUUGACCGUUCGGUCAUAGUGUUCAUAGAUGAUAUCUUAGUCUAUUCUAAGAGCAAAGAGGAGCAUCAGCAACACCUGUGGGAGAUUCUGGAAACUAUGGCAAGAGAAAGGCUUUAUGCUAAAUUCUCAAAAUGUGAAUUUUGGUUGGAAGAAGUUCAGUUCUUGGGGCAUGUGGUAAACAAACACGGUAUUAAGGUCAAUCAAGCCAAGGUUAAUGUGGUUAAAAAAUGGAAGAUUCCAAAAACACCUUCUGAAAUUCGCAGUUUCUUGGGUUUAGCCGGUUAUUACCGGAGGUUCAUUGAAAAUUUCUCUAAAAUCGCCUUACCACUCACCCGAUUGACCAAGAAAUCAAUGAAAUUCGUUUGGGGCCCGGAGCAGCAACUGGCGUUUGAUGAGUUAAGGAAACGAUUGUGUGAAGCUCCGAUUUUGGCCUUACCUGAUGGGGUUGAGGAUAUGGUGGUUUACUGUGAUGCAUCGCUUCAAGGUCUUGGUGCCGUGUUAAUGCAACGAGAUAGGGUGAUAGCCUAUGCCUCCCGACAGCUGAAACCCCACGAACGAAACUACCCCAAUCAUGAUUUGGAGCUUGGGGCUGUUGUUUUCGCUCUGAAGAUUUGGAGACACUAUCUCUAUGGAGUGAAGUUUAUCAUAUACACUGACCAUAAGAGUCUGAAAUAUUUGUUCGAGCAGCGGGAUUUGAACAUGAGGCAGAUCCAAUGGUUGGAUGUUAUAAAAGAUUAUGAUUAUGAAAUUCACUACCACCCCGGUAAAGCUAAUGUGGUAGCUGAUGCUCUUAGUCGUAAACAAUCUGCCGAACCAAUUCGAGCUAAGUGUCUCCGGAUCACGAUGGUGUCGUCUUUGUUAGAUCUAAUCCGGGACGCCCAAAAGACGGCAAUACUGGAGGAAAACAUCAGGCGUGAGAAGAUUCGGAAAGAGUUGCCUAAGAUGGAACGAGACGGGCGUGGUUUGCUGACUCGCUACGGUAGGAUUUGGGUUCCAUAUACCGGGGGAAAUCGGAAAACCCUAAUGGAUGAGUCUCAUAAGUCAAAAUUUUCUAUCCAUCCUGGUGCUACUAAAAUGUAUCGGGACCUUCAUGAGGCUUACUGGUGGCAUGGAAUGAAGAAUGAUGUGGCUCGAUUUGUGGAAGAAUGUAUGACCUGUCGAAAGGUCAAGGCGGAACACCAGAAACCGCAUGGGAAGUUGCAACCAUUGGAGAUUCCUGAAUGGAAAUGGGAGCAUCUAACCAUGGACUUCAUUACAAAACUUCCUAGAACUGCCCGAGGAUCAGAUACGAUAUGGGUGAUUGUUGAUCGUUUGACUAAGAGUGCUCACUUUCUGGCUAUAAAGGAGAGCUCAUCGGCGGAGAAAUUAGCCGAGAUCUUUGUUCGGGAGAUUGUCUCAUUACAUGGGGUGCCCGUUUCUAUCAUCUCCGAUCGAGACACCCGAUUUACCUCUCGGUUCUGGAGGAAGUUUCAAGAGGAAUUGGGCACACGAUUACAUUUUAGUACCGCCUUCCAUCCGCAGACAGACGGGCAGAGUGAGCGGACGAUUCAGACCUUGGAGGACAUGCUUAGGGCGUGUGCGAUUGAUUUUGGGGGUAGUUGGGAUGACCAUCUACAUCUAGCUGAGUUUUCUUAUAACAACAGCUAUCACUCGAGCAUUAAAAUGCCUCCGUAUGAAGCCUUGUACGGGAGGAAGUGCAGGACGCCCGUUUGUUGGGGCGAGGUUGGGCAGAGGGUACUUGGGAGUACCGAUAUCGUGCUACAGACUACGGAGAAAAUCCAAGUGAUUCGGGAUCAUUUGGUCACAGCGAGCAGUCGUCAGAAAAGUUAUGCCGACAAAAGACGCUCCAAUCUUGAGUUCCAGGUGGGAGAUUAUGUGUUGCUUAAAGUCUCCCCCUGGAAAGGUGUGAUUCGAUUUCGGAAGCGGGGAAAGCUCGGACCCCGAUUCAUUGGACCCUACAAGGUCAUAGCUCGUGUGGGGAAGGUGGCUUACCGUUUAGAGCUUCCUGACGAGCUUAGUCUAAUUCAUAAUACGUUCCACGUGUCUCAGUUACGAAAAUGCGUUGUUGAUGAGACCGCUGUGAUACCACUGGAGGACAUACAAAUUGACGAGCGUCUCAAUUAUGUUGAGAAACCAAUCGCUAUUUUAGAACGAAAGACGAAAGCUCUCCGCAACAAGACUAUAAACCUGGUUAAGGUGCAGUGGCAACAUAGGAAGGGUUCGGAAUGGACUUGGGAACCGGAAUGCGAGAUGCGGGCUCAUUAUCCGGAUCUGUUUCUAGGUGUUGACUUCGAGGACGAAGUCCGUUCUUAGUGGGGGAGAGUUGUAACGCCCCGGGUUUUCUCGGUACGUUUGGUUAUUUUAAUUUAAUUAUCCUUGUAACCUUGGGUUAAUUUAUUUAACCAAUGUCUGAUUUCUUAUGUUAUUGGACUCUUUUGAUCAUCUUGUAAACUCCUUUUAUUGAAGUCCAUGGGCUAUGGGCCUAUUUGCAAAGUCCAUCUAGUUAAUAGUACUUAAUGUGUAAAUUGAAUCAUUUGGAACACACACAAGGAAAACACUCUAAACCCUCCCUCUCUCUCAAAAAUCGUCCCUCUCUCUCUCUUUGGGAUCAAGAGCAGCCAAGGGGCUGUUUGGAGCUUAAUUCUUGUUCAUUUCCAGCCUUGAUUCGUAUUGGUAUGAACCUCCUUAUCCUUUCUUACAACUUGAUUCAUAACCUUGUUCUAGUUUUAUGAUUUCAUCUUCACCUCUUCUCCUUCUUAUUUUAUUUGUAAUUGUAUGUUAUACAUCAUCUCAAGAUCCUAUCUUCACCCCAUAUAUGGUGGAUGAUGGAUCUAGGGGAUUACAUGUGGCAAAAGAUCAUGGAAACCCUAAAAGGGAGAAUGAUGAUUUUAUGUGCUUAUGUUUAUUUUCAUGUUGAUUAUUAUUACAUCCUUGUGGCUAAAUGAAAUCCUAAUGAUCCCUAACCCUUUUUAGUACCACCAUUAUCAUGGGGACUGAAUUGGGAUGAUGAACACAUCUUAAAAUGUGUUUCAAAAGGAGAAGGAUGGAUAAGCCAAAAAGGAAUCACGGGUGGCUACGAUUCUGUUUUCCAUCAGAUCUGUAGUCAUUUUGUAAAAAUCAUAUCUGGAGCUCUAGAACUCAAACGGACCCCAAACCAGUUCCAAAAGUUCACAAAUUGAGUUGGCUAACUUUCUUAAGAAGGCCAACCUCACUGAUAAGGGCUUUAUCUAUGUGAAAGAAUGGCAUCUUUGCUGUUAGGUCUGAUCCGGGUCUGUUCUGAUAUGUCAUUUUGUUUUCAUCAUUUCUAAGGCUUGGAAAAGGAUCCAGAGUGAUUCCAAGUUUCUAUAUGUUCCUUAUAUUAUGAAUUUAAGAUCUGGAGAAUAUGGGGUGUUAUUUCCAAUUAUAAAUUGGUUAGAAUGGAUCCACACUCCAGGUCAGUGGGCAGUCACCAGCUUUUGCUAGUGCUGUGAUUGUCCACAAUGUGAAUUUUAUAUCUGGAGUUUGGGAGAUGCUUUUCAUUCAAUUCCAACUCUGAGACUUUCAUUUAUAUGUCCUUUACUUCUAUUAAUUUUGGUUUGGACGAAUUCUACUCACAAGUUAGGUAGAAUUGGCCAACAUCACUUGACUGUAUUGUUGGAGACAGAAGUGAUACACCAUUUUGUAAAAUUCAUAUUUAAUUCAUCUUUUGGAGUUAGAAUGAGUUCUUUAUAGUUGUGGAAUCCUGAGCAAUCAUAGUUUCCUAUAAAAUUUAGUUAAAGCUAUGUUUCUGUUUUAGAUUUUGGAGUAAAUCCGUUUUGAACAGCAGGUCUGUUUUAGAGACCUUGCUGUGAUUACUCUUUUCUCAACUCAUAGCUUCAUUACUUCUCCUUUCUAACCUUUAGUCCUUCUUAGGUGAGGUUUUGAAGUUUUCUCAAGCUUGGUAGCAUUAUUUGAUUCUUAUCUAUCCUUACUACUCACUCAAGGUGAGUUCUCUCACACUGUUGUAUUGAUGAUUGUGUUUGUUAGUUAGCUCGUGUGUGAUUAUUUGAAUUCAUUAUAAAAGCAUGCUAUAUAACUAUUGUUUUAAUUCGUACAUGUGCACUGUAUGUAACUAAUCAUGGAUAUGGGGACACCACCAAAGGAUACGGAUUUACCGGUGCGGUGGGGAGGGAAGAUCACCAACGUAAUACUCAUCGUGAAGUGCGGUGAUUAGGGCCAAAUGAUACGGGAUCUUCCCGGUGCGGUUCAAACCUACAAGUCCUUCUUGUAUUAUAGGCAUUGAUUCGUUCUUUUCCCUUAUCAUAUAAUUAUAAUUGGAAAAUGGAUUAGGGUUAGUAAAUAUGAAUGUUAGUACAAUGUCUGUGUUUGAAUUCACUAAGCUUUGUGCUUAUGGUUUCCCUUAUAACUUUUCAGGUGUUAAGAUUAAAGAGGCUAAGGCUUGACAUGGAGCACCGGGACAUCGCUACUAGUUAUUUUUGUUGGGACCUUAUUAUUAUUAUUACUUCCGCACUUAUUUUAUAUGAUUAUUAAGUUGAUGGAUUAUGUUAUGACUAUUUCUGUUGUUUUAAUUUAAUUUAAGAUGGGUUUUAAAAGUUUAAAAUUUUUGCAAAAAUUUGGGUGUCACAACUACAGGGAACUCAACAAGCUUACUGUUAAAAAUCGUUAUCCUCUACCCCAAAUUGACAAUUUAUUUGAUCAACUUCAAGGAGUGAACUACUUCUCGAAGAUAGAUCUAUGAUCCGGGUAUCACCAGUUAUGAGUGUUAAAGGAGGAUGUUCCCAAGACAGCCUUCUGAAGUCGUUAUGGACACUAUGAGUUUGUAGUGAUGCCGUUUGGAUUAACCAACUCACCAGCUGUAUUCAUGGAUCUAAUGAAUAGGGUGUGUCGUCCUUACUUGGAUCAGUUCGUCAUUGUCUUCAUCGAUGACAUAAUUAUCUACUCUCGAAGUAAGGAGGAGCAUAGUGAACACCUACGAAGAGUCUUAGAAACAUUACGAUCGAAGAAGCUCUAUGCCAAGUUCUCUAAGUGAGAGUUUUGGAUUUGAAGAGUCGAAUUCUCUGGCCACAUUGUUAGUGAACAAGGAAUUCAUGUGGACCCUUCCAAAAUCAAAGCCAUAGGUCUCGCUGGCUACUAUCGCAGAUUCAUACAGAACCUCUCUAGCAUCGCUAAGCCGCUUACUACACUGACCUAGAAAGGUGUUGCCUUUGACUGGGAAGAGAAACAAGAGGAGGCGUUCCAAAUGCUGAAGCUCAACCUUUUAUGGUUAAGAUGCAAAUCAGUGAGUUGAGUGGUGACUCAACGAGUUGGACAGGAUGGUACUCAGAGAUCAUUGAACUCGACGAGUCUUGGGGUGACUCGGCGAGUUGAGUCGUAUUUGGAGAGUUUCCGAGUUUAGGGACUCGGCGAGUCUAAGAUUUGGCUCGAUAAUUCGAGUCAACUAGAAGGUUGACUUUGACCAGGACUUUGACUUUGACCAGAGUUGACUUAGUUUGACUUCUAGAGUUCAGUUUGAAACCAAGUGUUAUAUAUAGUAGCUCGGGGAGCUAGUGGAGCAGCGGUUCAGAAAGUUGUCGGACAACAGCCAGAGGGUUAUCAACAACGUUCAGCAGUGUAGGUGAGUUUCCCUUUGUGUGAAUGGGUCUACGACCACAAUGUCGGCCCAUGUAGUUAUGAGUAGGAAGACCCGGGGGUUAGCCCUAGGCGCAGUAUGCUAGUAGGAAGACUCGGAUGUCUUCUAAUGCAAUGAGGUAAGGUCAUCACCUAUGCCUCAAGACAACUGAAGACACACGAGGUCAACUACACCACGCAUGAUCUUGAGUUAGGAGCAGUUGUGUUUGCUCUAAAGUUCUGCAGACACUAUUUGUACGAUACGAAAAGCACUAUCUUUAUAGACCACAAAAGCCUUCAACACAUCUUUGACCAGAAGGAGCUCAACAUGAGACAACGACGGUGGGUCAAGCUACUUAAUGACUACGAAUGAGAAAUUCAUUAUCAUCCUGGCAAGGCCAACAUAGUAGCUAACGACCUAAGUAGGAAAGAAUACUCUGGUCGUAGUGUAACAUCCCAAAUUUCGACUCCAAAAAUUUCUUUUAAAAACAUUACUAGUUCAUAACGUUAAGUUAUUCAAACAUACAAAAAGGGUUUAUAUGACAAAUCAUAGUUUCAUUUUCAAAACACUUGCUUAAUUAUCAGAGUAAACAUCCCAGACUAACUUGUCAUGGUGAGUGCACUGCAACCCCACCGAGCUCCUCUUCUAAAAACUAAAUACCUAAAACCAAAACUGAAAACCGUAAGCACGAAGCUUAGUGAGUUCCCCAACCUACCGCAUACCACACAUAUCUACUGAUCCAUACAUGCCAUACAUAACACUGUGCACAUAACCACAUACUUGGCUCCCGCCCACUGCAUUGGGCCUCGCCCGCUAUCGGACCCCAUCCGUUACCAGGCCCCACCUGGCUUCGAGGCCUGCUUGGCGUACAUAUCUGUUUUCCUUAGGCCCUGCCUGUCUUCGGGCCCUGCCCGCUAACAUAUGCGAACAUACAAUCAUAUCACAACACAUGACUAACAUACAUUACUGGAUUACUGUACUAAGGCCUCGCCUAUCUUGGGCCUCGCCCCUGUCCUAUUACUGAAGAAUCAUGGAGCCCCGUCUACGCUCCUACUGACAGUGAGAUACGGGCCUAGCCUACACUCACUCUUUUCCUUACUUGGGCCUCGACCCUUCUCUACUGCUAAUAAGGUAUGGAACACCGUCCACACUACGCUAUUGGUGAGAUACGGGACCUUGCCCACACUCUCCUCCCUACCAGGCACAUACAUGUAUCACACAGACAACAAUUAUGACUAUCAUACAAACCAUUCCUUGGGCACCCGCCCGCUAACAUUGGACCUUAGUCCCGAAUGUCAUACUAGCAUACUGUGCCUAGGGCUAACCCCCGGGUCUUGCUACUUAUAACUACAUGGGCCGGCAUUGUGGUCGUAGACCGAUUCACACAAAGGGAAACUCACCUGCACCGUUCAACGUUGCUGNNNNNNNNNNNNNNNNNNNUCUGACCCGCUGCUCCACUAGCUCCCCGAGCUACUAUUAUCAAUAUAACACUUAGUUACAAAUUGAACUCUAGAAGUCAAACUAAGUCAACUUUGGUCAAAGUCAAAGUCCUGGUCAAAGUCAACCUUCCAGUUGACUCGAAUCGUCGAGUCAACUCAUAGACUCCCCGAGUCCCUAAAUUUAGAGACUCUCCAAAUACGACUCAACUCGCCGAGUCACCCCAAGACUCGUCGAGUUCAACGAUCUCUGAGUACCAUCCUAUCCAACUUGUUGAGUCACCACUCAACUCACUGAUCUGCGUCUUAACCAGAAAAGGUUAAGGUUCUGUGGCCAAACUCGCCGAGUCCAAGAACAAACUCGCCGAGUUGUUCUUCCAACUCGCCGAGUCCACGCUCAUGUUCAUAAAACUCGCCGAGUACACCCAUGUGACUCGUCGAGUCUCUUCAGAUCUCAAUCCAUACAGUGGCUUUUCGAGCCAUGCAGGGGCUCCAAUCCAUAGAUCCACUCUUCUAUAGUCUAUCCCGCACGUAAAGUUGCAAAAUUUACGUGAAACCAAGGAGCUAAAGGCCCAAAACACUCUAGGUCUAGGAUUUAAGACAAAGGGGCUUCACCAACAACUUAUUGACAUAAACUUUAUGGCCUUCUGGACCAAAAUAAGUCUAGAUCUGAGGUAGCAACCUCAGAUAUAGGCCUCUAACUUGACAUGGAUCUCAAUCAUGCCCAAAAUGCCCCAAGUCUCAAACAUAAGAUAGAUCUAAUUGCAAUAAGGCCAAAGCAACAACUUAAUACCUCCAAAAUAUGCUCCAACUGAAGUAGAUCCCAGAUCUAUACUACUCCCUUGCUUCAAGCGUCUUGGUCUUCAAUCCCCUUUCCACCAAAAUCACUUAUCUAGGCUCCAAAUUGCUUCCAAGGACUCUCACUCACGAUUUAGGGUUUCUGGAUCUCAAAAGGGGAGUAAAGAGGCUGGGGAAAGGGUGUAAUGUUCUUUAAAUAGGGCACAACCCCCAGAAUUAGGGUUUUUCUCGUCCAGACCAGACUCGCCGAGUCCACUAGCCGACUCGCCGAGCCGGUGACUUACUCAAUACCCCGGAUCCCGCUCUGACUCGUCGAUUUCCUCCCUGGACUCGACGAGUAGACUCAUGACUUAGAGCUUUUCCUUUCUUUUCUUGGUCUUUCAGAUUCUGGGUGUUACGCGUAGAGUCAAAUCAUUGACUAUGACUAUCCAUUCAUACUUGUCCACACUAAUUAAGGACGCUCAACUCGAUGCUUUGAAACCUGAAAAUGUGACAAGUGAAUCCCUUGGAAGGAUGGAUAAGAACUUGGAAGUUAAGGGUGGCGGAGCUUUAUAUCUCAUGGACCGAAUCUGGAAACCGAAACACGGUGGCUUCAGAGACUUGGUCAUGGCCGAGGCGCAAAACACUCGAUAUUCCGUUCACUCAGGUUCGGAUAAGAUGUAUCUGGAUCUUAAAAAGUUAUACAGGUGGCCUAACAUGAAAGCAGAGAUUGCUACCUUCAUGAGUAAAUGCCUUAGUUGCGCAAAGGUUAAGGUCGAAUGCAAGAAACCAUCAGGUUUACUUCAGCAACCGGAGAUACCAAAAUGGAAAUGAGAGCGGAUUACUAUGGACUUCAUAACCAAGUUGCCCAAGACAACGGGUGGACUUGAUACCAUUUGGGUGAUCGUCGAUAGAUUGACCAUAUCCGCGCAUUUCCUACCAAUCAAAGAGACCGACAAGAUGGAGAAACUAACAAGAACAUACAUUCGGAAGAUCGUACGACUUCAUGGUGUUCCCAGAUCCAUUAUCUCAGAUAGAGAUAGUAGAUUCAAUUCGAGGUUCUGGCAGUCGCUACAAACUUCCCUUAGAACGAGGCUGGACAUGAGUACAGCCUACCAUCCACAGACCGACGGACAAAGUGAGAGGACUAUCCAAACACGGGAAGAUAUGGUUGAGAGCUUGUGUGAUCGACUUUGGGAAGGCAUGGGAUACUCAUUUACCCCUUGUCGAGUUUUCCUACAACAAAAGUUACCACACGAGCAUAAAGGCUGCUCCAUUCGAAGCCCUCUAUGGCCGAAAGUGCAGAUCCCCUCUGUGUUGGGUUGAGGUGGGUGACACCCAGUUAGCUAAAGGACGAGUUCCUGACAACACUCUCACAGGUCCAAAAAUCAUACGGGAAACGACAGAGAAGAUCGUUCAGAUUUGUGAACGAUUGAAAGCCUCUAGAGACCGUCAGAAAAGCUACGCAGACAAAUGAAGGAAACCUUUGGAAUUCCAGGUGGGAGACCGAGUCCUUUUGAAAGUCUCACCCUAGAAGGGCUUGAUACGCUUCAGAAAGCGUGGAAAGCUAAAUCCAAGAUACGUAGGGCCUUUCGAGAUUCUUGCCAGAAUCGGUCCUGUAGCUUACAAACUCAAUCUACCGUGUGAACUCAGUAAUGUACAUUCUACUUUCCAUGUCUCAAACUUGAAAAAGUGUCCGUCCGACGAGACUCUUGUAAUCCCACUCGACGAGAUCAAGAUCAACGAGAGCCUCAACUUCAUGGAAGAGCCUGUAGAGAUUAUAGACCGAGAGGUCAAGCAAAUGAAGCAAAGUCAUAUCCCGAUAGUGAAGGUUCGCUGGAACACUAAGCAAGGACCUGAAUUCACUUGGGAGCGCGAGGAUCAAAUGAAAUUGAAAUAUCCUCAUCUUUUUACUUAGUUAUUUGUAAAUAAUUAUUUGCUUAAACUCUAAUUUCGGGACGAAAUUCCCUCUAACGGGGGGAUGAUGUGACAACUCGAAAUUUCUAUCUUAUAAAAAAACCCUACAUUCAAUCAAAGUCAAACUUUAUUUUGCUAAAUUUUAGCAGUUUUGGAGUUAGUUUGGGUGUUUUCAUCUUAAAUACAUAAGAGGUAAGUAUAGGAAGUGUAGUCUAGAGUUACUUUUUCAACACUUAAGUCUCAAAACUCCAAGAGUUUGGAGUUUACAGCCAUAACAUGGAGUUUACGGCCGUAAACUCUAAGGUAUAAAUAUGGCACAAGUCAUUUUAUGUCAUUUUUACCAUUUUCAAGCCUAGAACUCAUUCUCUCUCUCAAGUAUCAUCCGAAUUUCUCACUACAUCUUCAACUUUGUAAGUGAUUCUUUCCUUGAUCAGUUGAUAUUCUUCAAUAUCUAGUGGUUGUGCAUGAUUUCAUCCAUAAAAUCUCUUCAUUUGAUAGAUCUUCAAGUGUUCUUCAUUUCACUAAGAACACACACUAGUGUUCUUGAGCCUUAAGCACCCUUACAAGCUUCUAUAUUGUAAGUACUCUUGUCUUAGAUUGUUCUAUGCUUAAAUCAACUAGUUUAAACCUAGAAAUCAUCAAGAAAUCAUGAUCAAAAGGGAGUUUAUGGCCAAGGAACCUCCUUGGGCCGUAAACUCUAUUUAAGGGUCCAAAUGAGCCCUUAAUCCCUUCCAAAGCCUUGGGAUCAAGUCUAGAACACUUCCAUCAUAAGCUAGGGACCUUAAACUUUGAUUUGGUACAUAAUACCAUGAGUUUACGGCCGUAAACUCAUGGAGAAAUGGUCCUUAGGCCGUAAAAUCUAGUUAGUGGUGCAAUGGUGCCACCAUUCCUUCCUAGGGCUUAGACUUGAUCAUAGUGUUGGGUCAAAAAUAUGGUUUAUACUUUGCUUUCUAGGAAAUUGUAUUUUUUUGUAAUAAUUUUGGAGUUUACGGUUGAGUUGAUGGCCGUAAACCCAUUUAUGGCCCAUGUUAUACGGCCCAUAUUCUCCAACUAUAAAUAUAAGUGUUAGGGUGAGGAGUAGAGAUUGAUGAACCCUAAGGAGUUUACGGCCAGAGAGAAACAGGAGCUUUUAUGUGUGUGUGUGAAUCUUUUGUAUCCGGAUCUUCAUUCAUAUCAAUACAUACAAAGAUUCAUAUUAUUCUUCUUCUCCUUCUCUUCUAUUUGAUCUGACAUCAUCCGUUUGAUUGGGAUUCCGCACCAUCAAACGGAUCUGAUUGAUACAUAGGCAUUUUAGGGANUUUAUUGUGAUCUGGCAUCAUCCAUUUGAUUGGGAUUCCGCACCAUCAAGCGGAUCGGAUUGAUACACAGGCAGAUUAGGGACUUACAAUUGGUAUCAGAGUCAAGUUGUAUCAGUCAAUUUUGUCAGAUUUGGGGCAUUAUUUGAUCUUAUUUUCGAAAUAUUUUUGCGUUUUUGGAUAGAUCUCGCAAAAAUAAGGGGGGUUUGUUCUUCGUGUUUUUCAUAAAAAAGGUUUUUGAUCGAGUUUUGGAGCUUCAAAGUCAAAAAAUCGCUAUUUUUCACGUAAUCGUUGAAGGGUUUUUGGCCGGAGCUUACUGCCGGAAACAGUUCACGGCCGGCGGCGGCGUUUGCUAGGGUUCACCGGAUUUUACGGCCGAUCGGAGUUCUCGGCCGGAAAGAGCUUAUGACACUGGAGUCUGCGGCAUCGGCUCGGCUCGGAUCACGGCUCGAAUCGCGGCCAGGGAAGCCGGCUAAGCAGCAACUCGCAUCGCAGCUUCAAAUAAAAAGGAGGGAGCGACUUUCCGGCGGACAAGAAUCGAUCCCACAACCUCAACUUCAACAACCAACGCCUUAAGCAACUCGUCUAGCUGAUUACUUGUUCCUUUCCUCCGAAUUUUAAAAUAUAACCCGUCUUUUUCGCAGUAAAUUUCGAAUUUUGACACUUUUAACCCAAAAACUCAAUUUCUUUUAACUUUAAAUUCCUUUUUCAUCCAAAAUUAAAAUAAUAAUAAUAAUAAUAAUAAUAAUAAUAAUAAUAAUAAUAAUAAUAAUAAUUAAAAAUAAUAAUAAUAAUAAAUAAAUAAAUAUAAAUUAAAUUAAAAUUAAUAAAUAAAAUUAUAUUUUAAUUUUUUACUUUUAUUUUUAACUUUUGACCUUAAGUUUUGACUUUGACUUUUUCGUUUAAUUUUUUUUUUAAAUUUUCAAAUUUAACUUUUCGGUUUGACUUUCAAGUUUAAUUUUUUUUGUUUGACUUUAUCAAGGUUGACUUUUUCAUGUUUGACUUUUGAGUUUGAUUUUUUUUUUAUUUUAUUAUUUGAUUUUUAAGUUGUAUGUUAGCUUCUAGUUGUGUUUUUAAUUGAUUUUAAGGUCUACGAGGGACUUGAAAACAUGAAAGAGAGUCGUCAGGAUAUGUUAAGACAAAAUUUCAACAUUUUUGAUUAUAUCCCUGGAGAAACCCUCGAAACUUAGUUGCAACGAUUUACUACGCUUAUUACAGAAAUGAAUAUAGCUGGGAUCUUCUUGUCUAAAUAUGAGAUAAACAAAAAGCUAUUGAAUUCACUUCCGAAAUCGUGGGAUAUGGACGUGGCUGACAUCAAGAAGACAAAAGAUCUCAAUUGUCUUAGUAUUGCUGAAGUAAUUGAAGAGCUUGACGCUUUAAAGAGUUCUGUAAACCUUCCGGUCAAUGAAGUGUCAUGUUCUCAUUCAUGUGAAGUUUCAUGUUCUCAAUCAUGUGAAGAUAUGAUUAAGUUUCUUCGAGAACAAAUUGAUGUAUUUAAAAGAGAAGUUGAGGACCUGAGAUAUAAAGGAUAUCAACUCAGGAAAGGACAGAAACCCCUGAAGGCUGAGUUAGAAGCAAAAACCAAGGACUUUAGGAAACUUCAGGAAGAGUAUAGCAACAAGUGUGAAAAUUAUGAUUAUGUUAAGAGACAACUUCUUGUUGUAACUGAAGAACUUGACGCUUUAAAAAUCAAGUGUGGAAAAACUAAUGUCAGUUUCAAAAAUUAUACUACGUCAAGUCAGACAGUCGAGUCCUUAUAUGAAACCCAGUUAAGAUUCAAAGAAAAUCAAAACAAGGAUCUAGGGUAUGAUAGUGUACCUCCUCCUUAUAAUCAUAACUACACAUCUAUCCCUAUAACACAUGACGAAACUGACAGGGAGCCACAUCUUCGAUAUGGAAAACGAGCUGGAUUUGUGUCAGGAGGAGUUAUUAAUGUUGAAAAUACUGAUGUUUCUGUUAGAUGUGCAGGUAAAUUAGCAGAGGAUGAGAACAAGGAGAGUUCUUCUGAACAAACCAAUGACUCCUUGAACUCUAAAUCUGUUGCUUCGAACUCAACUGCUUCUGAUCAACUUGUCGUUGAGAAAUACAGGCCACCAAUUGCAGCAAAACAGAGUGCCUCCUGCAAUUGUGCAUGUGGGAAAAAUCAUAGACAAGGCAAAGAUACGCCACCAGGGUUAGGAAGAGAUAACUUCACAGUGAAGAAAAAGACUUGUUUUCACUGUGGAACACCUGGACACAUUGCCAGAAAUUAUCCUAAUCGCGCAUAUGUUGCCUACUAUGCACAAGGCUGGCAGAACGCGCCAAGAGGGAGAUUUUUAAAAAGAAACCCCUCAAAGUCACGUUCAGACAAUGCCGACUGGAAUGCCAUGAAGGCCAAGAAUUCAACUCCCAAGGCUAAGCAUCCUACUCCCAAGGUCAAGCAUCCGAAUCCUAAGGGAAAGAAGAAAAUGUCGACCCAGAAGUCUUGUCCAUGAGAUGCUCCUGUGAAGCCAAGACCGGUUAGGUUAAAGUCAUCUCGACAGGCGGCUUCAAGUUCCAAAUCAAGUGCCGAGGAGCCCAUCGGAUCGAAAAAGAAAUGGGUUAAACCCAACUACAAAUGGGUUCCAAAGGCUCACUCUCCCAAAUCUCGUAAUGCUUCUAAUGUUUCUACAUCUUCUGUUUGUGAUAAUCAGGAUAUGUCAUGGGAGAGAGUACUGUGCAAGGAUGAAAAAGGUUGACCCAGUUUCAAAAUGGACUGGGUUCCAAAGACCAACUAAUCCCGCUCUGUGUCGGAGCAGCUAUGGAGGCAUAUCAUCAAACUUCGGUUUGUUGGUAGUGGCUGUUCCUGGCACUUGAUAGGGACAUCUCUCAACUGUACUACACUCAGAACAUUAUUUGAGAGUAUGUGUCCUUUGCGGGAAGGGAAGAAAGGAAGGGAUCACUCAUGGGGUUAGUGCUUAAUGAUAUGAAGAAUUUUCGGAUCUGUUAUGAGAUUAUGCUUGCUGUUCUCAGAUCUUCUGAAUGCAGAUUCAAUCGGUGAAUUACGGUUUGCGUUUUCUUCUCUAUACUCCUGAGUUUUUCUUAAGCUGAUUCGCUUUAAAGACUAAUUUUUGUUUUAGGAUAGUUUAAAUUUGCGCAUUUAUUUUUGUUUCUCUCCUAUGCACAAAUUUAGGGGGAGAAAUAAAAACAAAACAAAAAUUAGAAUAUUAAAAAAAUCCAAAAACAUUACAAAAUUAUAAAAUAAAAAAAUUAUAUGGUGUAAAUGAAAUGUGUUUGAGGGAGAUGUUUUGGGAAGUGAUAUUAUCAAGUGAUAACAGGCAACCUGAGUCUGCAUAACGUACCCGAAGUUGAAGGGUCUAUGCUCUGGUUUGAUGCGUCGGUAGGCACGAAAGAUUCUAAAUGGACUUGACUAGGCAGAGUUGAACUUAGGAAAUUUAUAGACUUGACAAAUCUUGACCUAGUUAGAUCCAUUCAGCCUGACAAUAUGAUGCUCGGAUAGGUUGAGCAGGGAGAUAUAUAUGGGAAUCCACUCGUCACAUUAAAUGAACUCGUACUUGGAACCGUGGUUUAACUUUUCCUCGAUGUGCGGAUUCUGUCCUUAAUUCCGGUUGGAUGGGGCGACUGGUAAAUUCCGAUAAAUUAGGUCUGUAGAAUAUCAUUUUCUUUCUUUCCGUCUGUUAGUCAUAUGUUGUCUCCUUUGCGUGACUUCCAAUCCGACCUGGUACACAACAUAUGCAACUCUAUUUCUCUGCAGGCUAUAUAUAUGAAAUACUUCUUAUCUGUUAGCCAUAUGUUGUCUCCUUUGCGCGACUUCUAAUCCGACCUGGUACACAGCAUAUGCAACCUUCUUCUUCUCAACCCCUCUGAAGUAGUUAGCAAUAGAAUUCUGAAUCUCUUCUCUCUCUGAAUGGUUGUCUGCUCACCCGGUGUAAGGAGUACUCUGGAAGUUCUUGAUGGCUGGGGCAUAUCAGGAAGCGGGAAACACGUUCCAGUACACUUAAAAUUGAACACAUACAGAUUGUCUAUAGAUCUCGCUGCUCAAUUUAGGUGGACAACAAUAUCCCUGGUCGUCGUCAGAUGAAUGAACCUUAAGAUAUAGUAUCUAAGAAAUUAGGAUCAGAUAUAAAUUUUAGGUUUUUAAGUUCACCUUGUCUUGUAACAAAUAGUAUAUCCUAAAUCUGUCACAAAUUUUUCGUGUUUAAGUGGAUCACAAUACCGACGAUCGACCAGACAAAGAUGUGAAUAUGGAAGGUACCGACAAGUGGAUAAAGGCUGUCUAAAAACUUUGAUCCCAAAUCACUCUUAAAGUUAGAUAUCAUUUUUAUUUUUGUUAAAGUUGUCAUUGUUUCUUCUAAUUUAAAAUAUUAGGGGAGAAUUAAAAAUUAAAAAUCAAAGAAAAAUCAAAAAAAUUAAAAAAAAUCCAAAAAUAGAGUUAUUUCUGUUUUUGUUUCUGUUUUAAUUUGUGUGCUAAGUUUUCUUUUAGUUUUGUUUUGUCUUGAAAAGUGAUUUCAUGUAUAGAUAAGACUCAUGGAUAUUGUGUUGAAGAUUUCUGAGCCAAAGGCUUCGUCCGUGAGCAUCGAAGAAUUCUCAUUCGAAGGAGAAAGAAAUGAAGAUUAUUCUUUCGACAUUCAAUCUUUCAACCCCAGAAGCAAGGUGAAGCUGAAAUUGAAGAAUAUGUGACGGAUUGCAUUGAAGCCUCCUCAAUUAGUCUGCUGCUAUCUUUGUACCUGCUGAAGUGAUUCAGAAUAUUUGUUCUCUCUGAUGUUCUCUCUGAAGAUUCUUAAGCUGAAAGCGUUAUCUUUCAAGAAUCAGUACGUCAAGCCUCCUCACCCAAUGUGCGAUCAAUGCCAAAUUCUGAAGAAAUGCUCAAGUGCUCAAGAUGAAGUCAUUCAUUGAAGAUUCAUCAAGUUCAUCUUGAAGUCGUGAAGAAUUUGAAAAUUAAUGCUGAAGCCAAGAUCUUCAUGAAGAUUAACAAUAAGAGUCAGUUACUUUUUAGGGGGAGCUUGUUGGGUCAUUUAAGAAAAGAAAGCUAUAAACCAAGGGGGGAGAUUGUUGGGUCAAAAAUAUGGUUUAUACUUUGCUUUUCUAGGAAAUUGUAUUUUUCUAUAAUAUUUUUGGAGUUUACGGUUGAGUUUACGGCGUAAACGCAUUUACGGCCCAUGUUAUACGGCCCAUAUUCUCCAACUAUAAAUAUAGGUGUUAGGGUGAGGAGUAGAGAUUGAUGAACCCUAAGGAGUUUACGGCGAAAGAGAAGAGAGUUUACGGCCAAAGAGAAACAGGAGCUUUUAUGUGUGUGUGAAUCUUUUGUAUCCGGAUCUUCAUUCAUAUCAAUACAUACAAAGAUUCAUAUUAUUAUUCUUCUCUUUCUCUUCUAUUUGAUCUGACAUCAUCCGUUUGAUUGGGAUUCCGCACCAUCAAACGGAUCUGACUGAUACACAACCAUUUUAGGGACUUACACAUAGAACUCUUCAUAUUGACGUGUAAGACCUUAUAACACAUCAUACGGCUGUAAACUCAUGGGAAAAUUAUCCCUUAGCCGUAAACUCAUGUGGUUCUUACCAUAUGGGCCAUAAACUCCCAAGUGAGGACCUACACCCCUUAUGUGCAACCCUAUGUGGUUUAACCCUUCAGUAUAAGUGUUUCCUAGUCCCAAAGGUUGUUCCAUUACAUAAUUAGUUGUUAUAAACACUAAUUGUAAAAAUAUGUGUCAUUAUAUGUUAAAUAUGAUCCAUGUGUGCUCAAGUCUUCACAUGACACUGGGCAUCCUUUACCGAUCUUACAUUCGCAUCACUCACUUCAGGUGAGUUCACACCCCCUUAACUUAUCUUUUAAAUUAUUUUAAAUGCUUUUAUGGGGGGGGGGGGAAUACAAGUAGAAAACAUACUAGUUAUAAGAUCAAUCACAUAUGAUUUAUAACUGUGUUUCAAUCAAGGAUUUCAUAUACUUUAAACUGUGUUUCAAAACAAACUACUUUUAAAUCGUUUUAUAAACUGACAUCAAGUCAUUAUUUAUUUAUUGUUCAAAACACUUUAAAUGUAUUACAAAACCUCUUUUUAACUUAUAUAUAUACUAUCAAAAGCAUUAUAUAUAUAUAUAUAUGUAUAGUUAUAUACAUAAUGUUUAAAGGACUUAGGACUGCUAGCUCGGUUUAUUUCUUUUUUCCUUGUUUGGAUGUGGACUUAGGGUACCAGCCAGUUAUCCGAAGGUCGUCUAAAUAUUAGAUAUAUAUAUUACGUAUACAUAUGUAGACAUAAAAGUUCUAUUUUAUCAGUUCCGUACGGGUAGCAAAGGUAUACAUGCAUCUAUUCAUAUACAUAACUUACUAGUAAACUAUAUGUAACGCCCGCAAAUCCAAGCUAGUCAAAUUAGAGGCAAUAGGGUUCGUAAACGACUUUUCGAGAAAUUAUUAUUUAGAAUAAAUAAUCUUAACCAAGUUGUAGAAUGUGUCACAAGGUUUCCGUACAAAUAAAGAAUGCCGAAAUCCGAGUUAUAACGAAGAAGUUAUGACCCGUCGAAGUUUCGCGACGGAACCGGCACGACACCGUGAAGCGUAAAUAGUGAAUUUAUGAUAGAGAGAGAUUUAGCAUUAGCGAUCUAAACGAAGGUCGUAGAAUAUGUUAAACUAAGAACAUCGAUAAAAAGAACGUCCAAAUUUGACUUCGUAUGAAGAAGUUAUGAUUUUUCGAAGUUUCAGAUUAGCAGUGUACAACCCGAAUUCGAAUAUUAGAUCGAGCGAUUUUUAGCCGACACGACCUAAACGAGAAUCAAAGAUCUCAUUAAGAGUAGCAUAACGUGAAAAAGAUGGACGAAAACAGACGUCGGAUGAAGAAGUUAUGAGGAUUUAACGGACCAAUCCUGUCCCGGCCUGUUAAUAUUAUAAAAUUUAAAAUUGAUUCAAAACUAGCCGACGGAGUCUAAACGAAAGUUGUAGAGUAUGUUUCCACAUUUGUGUGGAUAUAAAGAACGUCAAAAACGGAGUUCGUAUGAGAAAGUUAUGAAUUUUUAAAGACUUUAGUCGAAUUUGUGAAGCCUGUUGAGGAGCUGGUGACGUGGCAGCAUCUGGGCCGCCCAUCGCCGAUGAAGAAACGCGCUUCGGAUCAUGCCAUGUAACCUUCGCUUUAUGCCCCGCGUCCGAGGUGAGUACGCCCCGCGUACCCUCGUGUCUUAUCCAUCCGAAGAAGGUGCGAGCCAGCUGUGCGAAGCUGGCAAUUCUAUCCGAGACUACGCCCAACAUAGCCUCCCUACGCCCAGCGUAAAGACCGAAGUCUGGCACUAUAAAUAGAGGUGCGAAGUGCUCCGAUUUCUCCCACCAUUUCUCGCACCUUUCUCUCACUAGUUUCUCUCUCUAAGUGCUCUAAACCUCCCCCCCUAAGCCCUAGAUAAACCCCUUAGCUCCCGAGGGAAGCCCCGAGGCUUCCAGAGUCCCGAGAAAAAAAGUGUCUUUCGGUUUCGAAACGCUGCUCCAAAUAAGUUCCGAUUUUCGAUAAAAUUCGCUGUAAGUGUGCUACACUUACGCAAUUUUUAAUAUAGCUUUCAAAUAAUUAUAGGAAUGUUAUUAGGUCCUUAAAAUAAUUAUUUAGGCUAUUAUUACGAGUUAUAUUGAGUGUUAUUAACGCUUGUAUAAUAAUAAUAAUAGUAAGACUAUUAAUUUGUCACGGUUAUCGUUAGACUAAACCCUAGUGGUAUUGGUACUAGGUUUUAUCGAAGGAAAAUUGUUUUAAGAGUAUCGAAGCGCUGUCCGAGUGCUGAGUCACCACCUACUCAGGUGAGUGAAUAGUUACUUUCAGCUUACACAUAGAUAUGAAGUAUUUUAUAUAAAUUACGUGCUGUGUGUUAAUAUUAUUUGAAUACUUGUUAUCUAUGCUAGAUGAAUGUUUUAUACAUGUUUUCAAUGAUUUAAACUGUAUAUGUAUUUUAUAUCUACAAAAUGUGUUGGGUAAAACUUGGGUAGAUGUAAUAGUUGCUGUGUGACAAAAUAAAAUAAUGAGAGGCCUCGUUAUAGAUGUUAUUGAUGAUCCAGUCAUCUAGCGGAGUAUAGAUGACGACCACGGACUAUUCUAGACAGUCCAGUGGAACACUAGCAGGCUCGCAACCUGUAGGUGUUUAUUUGAACUGUGUGUUUAUUUGAACUGUGUGCUCACCAGAUGUACUCCAUCCCCCACAUGGUUGCCUAUUAGGACAUUUAUUGCUGAGGAAUCCCCUUAGCAGUAGUGUCCGUCCCGAUGAUGAUCCUUAGGCUAGGUCCCUUAUGAUAGGUGUUUAGGGACGUAAAGUGAGGAUAACGGGAACGGGUAAUCGGGUUAUUGUUGAUUGAUGAAAUUAAUAAACUUUUUAUUGUGGGUUGAAAACCCUAUGUGCUCACCAGGCUCCCAAGCCUGACCCACUCAGUUUUAUGUAUUACAGGUAGUGGCGCUUGAGCAUANNNNNNNNNNNNNNNNNNNNNNNNNNNNNNNNNNNNNNNNNNNNNNNNNNNNNNNNNNNNNNNNNNNNNNNNNNNNNNNNNNNNNNNNNNNNNNNNNNNNNNNNNNNNNNNNNNNNNNNNNNNNNCGAACUGUGUGUUUAUUCGAACUGUGUGAACUGUGUGCUCACCAGAUAUACUCCAUCCCAAUGAUAGUCCUUUGACUAGGUCCCUUGUGUUAGAUGUUUUAGGGACGUAAUGUGAGGAUAACGGGAAUGAGUAAUUGGGUUGAUUGUUUGAUGUUUAAAAGUAAUAAUUAUAUUAUUGUGGGUUGAAAACCCUCUGUACUCACCGGGUUUCCCAACCUGACCCACUCACUUUAUUUAUAUCACAGGUGACGAUAUGAAGUGACUUUACACUGAGAGAUUUAAAGAGAUGUAGAUCACUAGUGUAAAUAAUUGUAAGUUCUGUUUAUGCUUAUGUUUCUGUAUUAACGAUGACAUCCCAAACGUUUUAAAAUGAAAUAAAUACGUUUCAUCGAAAAUGUUUUAAUAACGUAUUUAUCAUGUUUUUCUGGGAACAAAUUCCGCAACAUUUUUAUUUAAAAUAAGUACUCUAUUUUUUAUAAAACAUAAACAAAAUCGGUCUUUUCUAGCCGUGAAAGUUGGGGAUGUCACAGUUGGUAUCAGAGCAUUAGUUUAAGCGAACUAGGAAUAUGGAUUUGUUUCUAGACUUAAACUUAGAAUGCUAAGCAAUGAUUGUGAGGUGUGAGCACUAGAUUAUUUUAGGAAUUGUGCCUAAAAUGCUUUUAUGUGCUAAAUGCUUGUGCCUGAUAUGCUGUUAUUUGUUCGGAUCUAUGGUCUAUUGCCGACCGGAUCUGGAAACCUUAUGUGUUUAGGAUUCUAAGCGUUUAACUACGAUAUUAGAACUAGCAUAUAAACAUUUCGGAGUGAUAAGGAUGAUUUAAACGUCAAUCCUAAGUAAAGUUCUAGAUUCACCUUAUUUGGUGUAUAGAUCAAAAAAUGGCAAGGACCCGUAGUGGAAACGCGAAUGAAAAUGGGAACCAAGAUCAACCCCCAGUGAUUGAGCAAAUAUCGGUUGUGGUAGCCGCUGCUGAGCCAAUAACGAUGGCCGGAGUGCAAGCGAUGAUCCAGGCAAUGUUGGAUCGUCAAAUGGAGGAAACCAGACGUUUGCUCCAGCAAAAUCGAGAGGAAGCAACCAUUCAGAUCGAACAGCCUGAGUUGAACGAAGGGCAGACUAAGGAAGGAAACUACAGUGGGACUUUUGGUCAAGUCAACCCACCAAUAGUUCGACAAAAGAAGCAAGAUGACGAAGUCGUGAGGAAUGGAUGCAAGUACAAGGAUUUUCUGACUUGCAAGCCAUCGACUUUCACUGGAAAGGAGGAUCCGUUCGGGGUCAUGGAUUGGAUCUCGGAGACGGAAUUAGCUUUCAUGACGUGUGAUUGCAAGGGAAAACAACAGACCACAUUUGCAGUGCGUCAGUUUCAAGGAGGCGCUGUACGUUGGUGGAAUACCUUGGGGAAGACUCUGAGCCCCAUUGAGCCCUGUAACUGACAUGGCCAGAAUUUCUGGUGCAAUUCAAACGUAGGUACUGCUCAGCCCAAAAUCAACUCGAGCUAGAAAACCAUUUCCUUACCUUGAAGAAAAGAAGCAUGUCUGUUGAUGAAUACACCAACAACUUCACAGAGAAGAUGGAGUUCGCCUUACAUCUUGUUCCGGAUGAGCUGACGAAAGUCGACAAGUAUGCAAAAGGACUUCCAUGGGAGUACGCGGUGCCAGUGCGUCAGGCAGCUAUCUGGGCUGCCAAGUCAGUUAAGGAUAUGAUCAAGGGAAGAGCCACCAACAAGACCGAGGUUGGAGAAAAGAGGAAGUUUGAGGGGUCUGCGAAGCCCGAUGAGAGAAGCAAGUCCAGUACAAGGAAGUUUAGAGGAGGAAGGAGUUAAGAAAGAUGGUGCGAGAAGUGCAAAAAGAAACACUCUGGAAAAUGCGGUGAGGAGGUGACUUGUUUCAAGUGUGGGAAGCAUGGGCAUUAUGCCAACAAGUGUAAAUUCAACAAAAGGGUGUGUUACGAAUGUAACGAGGAAGGGAACUUCAAGAAAGAUUGCCCAAAGAGAGAAUGGUCUACAAAGCCAAAUGUGCCGCCAAAGCUAAAGGCGAGAGCAUUUCAAAUGAUACUUGAUGAAGCAGCUGACGAUACAAGGAAUCAGGAGUAAGAGAUCGAUUUAUGAAGAAGCCAUAUAGAUAGUGUCAUAUGAUGUAGCCUAUUAGAGGCAUGAUCUAGGGUGAACUCGAACACGCAUGUAAUAGUUUCAAGGAAUAAUAAAAACCUUCGUUUUGAUAUUUGAUGUGUUAAGCUGUUAUGUAAUUUUCUUGUUUGGUGACUUGGAAAGAUUGCGGGAUAAUACUUGGGACGAGUAUGAGUAGGUGUGAAUGGUUGUAGAGGCCUAUACUACCGGAAGCACAAGACUCACACUUGCAUCAGGGAAAGUCACAAGGUUACCAAGAAGCUAGUAAUUGAUUUCGUUUUAUUCAAGUAUGGCGUUACCAUUGUUUCGGUAAUGACUAAGAAAAAUUGUUGUUAUUCCGACCCUAGUGGUCAUAUCACAUUGAGUCCGACUACGAUGAGUAGGUUACGUGGUUCAGAGAACCAAGUUUGAUGUAGCGUCCGACUUAAACCAAACGAUUAAGAUCAAAGCGAUCAAUAGAAGUAUCGCGCUCGUUGUUAAAGAAGUUGGUAGUGUGAUUAUAUCACAUUAGAACAUGAAGGAAGGAAUAGCUUAUUUUAGAAUUUGACACUAAGAGACCUGAGUCUAAACAUUCAUCGCAUGAUGGUAGGUCAUAAUUUGGAGUCUAACCUGAGAUAGAGAGCAGGUGCACGAUCGAGUACUGCUUACAGCAAUAAGUCUGAGAGAUAGACUUGAAGGAAUAUAGAAGUUAUAAUUAUUACCUAGGAUGAACGGAUGACGUAUGGAGUCAUUAUACGAGCCCUGUUUCGUUGAUGAUUCCGGGACGCAAUCAUCCUAAGGAGGAGAUAAUUGUAACGCCCGCAAAUCCAGGCUAGUCAAAUUAGAGGCAAUAGGGGUCGAAAACGACUUUUCGAGAAAACAUUAUUUAGAAUAAAUAAUCUUAACCAAGUUGUAGAAUGUGUCACUUGGUUUCCGUACAUAUAAAGAAUGCCGAAAUCCGAGUUAUAACGAAUAAGUUAUGACCCGUCGAAGUUUCGCGACGGAACCGACACGACACCGGGAAGCGUAAAUAGUGAAUUUACGAUAGAGCGAGAUUUAGCCUUAGUGAUCUAAACGAAAGCCGUAGAAUAUGUUAAACUAAGAACAUCGAUAAAAAGAACGCCCAAAUCUGACUUCGUAUGAAGAAGUUAUGAUUUUUCGAAGUUUCGGAUUAGUAGUGUACAACCCGAAAUUCGAAUAUUAGAUCGAGCGAUUUUUAGCCAACACGACUUAAACGAGAAUCGGAGAUCUCAUUAAGAGUAGCGUAACGAGAAAAAUAUGGACGAAAACGGACGUCGGAUGAAGAAGUUAUGAGGAUUUAACGGACCAAUCCUGUCCCGGCUUGUUAAUAAUAUAAAAUUUAAAAUCGAGUCAAAAUUAGCCGACGGAGUCUAAACGAAAGUUGUAGAGUACGUUCCCACCUUCGCGUGGAUAUAAAGAACGUCAAAAACGGAGUUCGUAUGAGAAAGUUACGAUUUUUUAAAGAUUUUAGUCGAAUUUACGAAGCCUGGUGAGGAGUUGGUGACGUGGCAGCAUUUGGGCCGCCCAUCGCUGAUGAAGAAACGCGCUUCGGAUCAUGCCACGUAACCUUUGCUUUACGCCUCGCGUCCGAGGUGAGUACGCCCCGCGUACCCUCGUGUGUUAUCCAUCCGAAGAACGUGCGAGCCAACUGUGUGAAGCUGGCAAUCCUAUCCGAGACUACGCCCAGCGUAGCCUCCCUACACUGUGACAUCCCCAAAAUCACGGCCAGAAAAGACCGAUUUUGUUUAUGCUUUAUAAAAAUCAGAGUACUUCAUUUUAUAAAAAGGUUGCGGAAUUUGUUCCCAGAAAAACAUGGUAAAUACGUUAUUAAAACAUUUUCGAAGAAACGUAUUUAUUUCAUUUUAAAAUGUUUGGGAUGUCAUCGUUAAUACCGAAACAUAAGCAUAAACAGAUCUUACAAUGAUUUAUAAUAGUGAUCUACAUCUCUUUUAAAUCUCUCAGUGUAAUGUCACUUCACUUCGUCACCUGUGAUAUACAUAAACUGAGUGGGUCAGGUUGGGAAACCUGGUGAGUACAUAGGGUUUUCAACCCACAAUAAUAUAAUUAUUAUGUCCAAUCAAACAAUCAACCCAAUUACCCAUCCCCAUUAUCUUCUUUACUCUUUAAGGAUUUAACCUAAGAGUCAUCUAUCCUGCAUUCGUUUAUUCCGAAGUCCCUUACUUCCAGGGUUAUGGGACUGGCACUAAAUCCAUAGCUGCCAAUGUUCGUUCAUAAAGCACUAAUUCCAUAGCUGCUAUAGUCUAUUCAUCGGGUACUAAAUCCAUAGCUACCAGUCUUUAUCUAAUAGGUACUAAGUCCAUAGCUACCAAUGUUCAACAGGUACUAAGUCCAUAGCUACCAAUUCCUACAGGUACUAAAUCCUUAGCUACCAGCGUCUAACUAAUAGGUACUAAGUCCAUAGCUACCAAUUCCCAACAGGUACUAAAUCCAUAGCUACCAACGUCUAAAAGGUACUAAGUCCAUAGCUACCGGUGUUUGUCCCAUAGGCACUAAGUCUAUAGCUGCCAAUGUAUACUCACGUCAUCUUCUAUCUCUCAUCAUUCAUCUACCCAUCUCAUACCCAACAUUUUCGUAUAUAUAAAAUACGUAUACAGUUUAAGUCCUUUAAAACAUGUAUAAAACGUUCAACCAGCAUAGACAGCAAGUAUUCAGAUAAUGUGCACACAUAGCACGUAGUUUAUAUAAAAUACUUCAUAUCUAUGUGUAAGAUGAAAGGGACUAUGCACUCACCUGAAAGGUGGUGAGUCGGCACUCGGACAGCACUUCGUUACUCUUAAAACAAUUAUCCCUUGACGAAACCUAGUAUCAUUACCACUAGAGUUUAGUCUAACGCUUGACGAGACUAAUUUAAUAGUCUAGCUAUUAUUACUAUUAUAUAAGCGUUAAAUAACACUCAAUAUAACUCAUAAUAAUAGCCUAAAUAAUUAUUUUAAGGUCCUAACAAUGUUACUAUAAUUAAAUAAAAUCUAUAUUAAAUAUACUAUAGGCGUAACUCACUUACAGCGGGUUUUUAUUAAAAACCGGGCUUCGCUGGAGCAGCGUUUCCGAGCCGAAAGCUUUUCUUCUCGGAGCCGUCGGGCGCUCCGGGGCUUUCUUCUCGUGAUAGGGAGGUUCCCUAGACUUGGGAGGGGUUUAGGGAGGCUAGAGAGAAGUUAGAGAGAGAAAGAAAGGCUUAUGGUGUGAAGAAAAUAUGAGGAGUUCACCCUUGUAUUUAUAGGAGUUUUAUAGUAAAGUAGUCUCUAAGCUUCGUCCGUAACUUUUGCAUACGAGCUCCGUUUUUGUCUGUCUUUUUACCGUUGAGUUCCUAUUAAUGAGAUCUUCAACUUUCAUUUAGACCUCGUUAGCUAAUUCUCAUUCUAUCUCGGAUUUACAAAACUGUAUCGAAUUCGCCGCGCUCGAAAAGUAGAGACUAAGCUUCGUCCAUAACUUUCGCAUACGAGUUCUGUUUUUGUCUGUAUUUUUACCGUUGAGUUCCUAUUAAUGAGAUCUUUAACUCUCAUUUAGACCUUGUUGGCUAAUUCUCAUUCUAUCUCGGAUUUACAAAACUGUAUCGAAUUCGCCGCGCUCGAAAAGUAGGGACUAAGCUUCGUCCAUAACUUUUGCAUACGAGCUCUAUUAUCGACGUUCUUUAUAUCCACGCGUUGGUAUUUACGAGUACUACAACUUUCAUUUAGAUCCCGUCGGCUAAAAAUCGACCGAUCUAAAAUUCAGAUUUCGGGCUGUGCACUGCUAUGCUAAAUCUUAGAAAAAUCAUAACUUCCUCAUACGAAGUCAGAUUUGGGCGUUCUUUUUAUCGAUGUUCUUAGUUUAACAUAUUCUACGACUUUCGUUUAGAUCGCUAAGGCUAAAUCUCGCUCUAUCGUAAAUUCACUAUUUACGCUUCCCGCUAUCGUGUCGGUUCCGUCGCGAAACUUCAACGGGUCAUAACUUCUUCGUUAUAACUCGGAUUUCGGCGUUCUUUAUAUGUACGAAAACCUUGUAACAUACUCUAAAACUUGGCUAAGAUUAUUUAUUCUAAAUAAUCUUUUGUAGAAAAGUCGUUUUCGACCCCUAUUGCCUCUAAUUUGACUAGCCCGAAUUUGCGGGCGUUACAUACACCCAACGUAAAGACCGAAGUCUGGCACUAUAAAUAGAGGUGCAAAGUGCUCGGAUUUCUCACACCAUUUCUCGCAUCUUUCUCUCACUAGUUUCUCUCUCUAAGUGCUCUAAACCCGCCUAAGCCCUAGAUAAACCCCUUAGCUCCCGAGGGAAGCCCCGAGGCUUCCGGAGUCCCGAGAAAAAAAAGUGUCUUUCGGUUUCGAAACGCUGCUCCAAAUAAGUUCCGAUUUUCGAUAAAAGUCGCUGUAAGUGUGCUACACUUACGCAAUUUUUAAUAUAGCUUUCAAAUAAUUAUAGGAAUGUUAUUAGGUCCUUAAAAUAAUUAUUUAGGCUAUUAUUAUGAGUUAUAUUGAGUGUUAUUAACUCUUGUAUAAUAAUAAUAAUAGUCAGACUAUUAAUUUGUCGCGGUUAUCGUUAGACUAAACCCUAGUGGUAUUGGUACUAGGUUUUAUCGAAGGAAAAUUGUUUUAAGAGUAUACUAUACAAAGGAUACUAUACAUAUAAUACUAUUACUAUAACAAGUAUACUAUAACAAGAUUUAGAGAUAACAUAAUGUGAGAUACUAUGUCAUGACACAUCGACCAUUUCGUCAUGUCACGCUUUCUAACCAGAAUCUUCUAGAGGGAGAGCAUGAGUUUGCGUAUAGAUCUAUACUGGAUUGACUAUGCUACACCUUUGUUGUUCGCUACAGUGGGACUUGCAAGUCUAUGGGUGCCAAAUGUCAUUUCUUCUGACGUCUUUCAUCGUCGUCUUAUAGUCAGAUUAGUAUGGUAACAAUCAUAUCACAUGUUGCCUUAAUAAAACCAUUGGUUUUAAGGUAGUUAUUACUUCAGUGAUUAAUACAAAUAAUAUUUUAGUACACAUAUACAUUUUCCCAUUAUAUUUAAAUUGUGAUCUUCUCACAUAAAGGGUAAUACUACCUCCGUCCCAAAUUGAUAGUCCACUUUUGACUUUUGAAGUCUUUUUCCUUCAAUUUUGACCUUAAAAUUUUUUGUUUUUGAUAGAUAAUACUUAAUGCAAAAUAUAUGAAUGGAUUGUAUUUUAAAUGUUUUUUCAUUGUUAUAAGUUUUAUCAAAUAAUAUAUAACACUUAUAAAAAUAUUUAAGGUCAAAGUUGAAGAAAAAAGACUUCAAAAAUCAAAAGUGGACUAUAAAUUUGGGACGGAGGGAGUAGAAAACUAUAUUUUGGUAAUGAUAGUCAUACUUGGGAAAAACAUUCACUUUUACAAAGGAACAAACAUACAAAACAAUCGGGUCUUGGUAGAAGACUACUUUUUAUACUAGUAGAAAAUAUAGGAUUUUCUAGGAGUUUUCAAACAUAUACAAACAUUUACAUUGCUCAAUUACAAACAUUUUCAUCAAACUUAUACAAACAUUGACACUAAAUACUUAUGAACUCACCUGAUUAAAUGUUGAUCUACGCUUUCAAAAUAACUUGUAUUCUCAGGUCACCAGUAGACAGGUACCGAUGUUCAGGUUUUGAGAAGACGGAGCAUCUUCAAGACUCUUCUUUUAUUUUGAUUAUUCAUUUUUGGUGUCUUAUUACUAUUCAAGAACACAAUUGUAUGAAAUUAUACUAUUAAUGCCAUGGAUGAUGUUGUCGCUUAUUUACUACUUUACAUUGUUAUGAUAUUGUACGUGACGUCCUCCGCCCCAAAACGUUUCCUUCGUUCUUGGUUUUGGGCUGUAACGGGUACUCGGUUGGAUAAAGCCUUUUUCAAGUAAUUCCUGCAGUUGGAUCAUCAUUUCUUUCAUCUCUGUUGGCGCGAGACGAUAAGGAGUCUUUGCAAUCGGAGCAGCACCAGGCACAAGGUCAAUUCAGAAUUCUACUUGCCUGUCUGGAGGAAGUCCAGGCAAGUCAUUGGAGAAAACAUCAGCAUAUUCAUUAACAACAGGAACAUCAUUUACCGUUUUCUUCUCCUCUUUUGAGACAUCAACUGUGUAGGCCAGAUAGAUAGAACAUCCCUUCGAUAUGAAUUUACGAGCUUUGAGGAAAGAGAUUAUUUUUAAGAUUCUUUGUUCACCAUAGACAUAGAUAGGAUUCUCCUCUUCAAUAGGAAUGCAUACUAUCUUUUCAUAUCACAAGAGUUCUACAUGGUUCUUUGAUAACCAAUCCAUAUCGAGAAUAAUAUCAAAGUUGGGCAAGGAGAUAGGGAUCAAGUUAGCAAGAAAAUUAUAGCUUUCAAUUUCUAUAACACGAUCCCUAUAGACUUUAUCAACAAGUAAUGAUAUACUUCCCAUAGUAUCUAUGUGAAAUGGUUGCACGAGUACACAGCAAGCAAUUUGAAAGGAAUGUGCAAAUUCAUAAGACACAAAAGAAUCUGAGGCACUAGAAUCAAAUAAAAUGUUAGCAUGUCUAGAGUUGACAAGAAAUGUACUCGUCACAACAUUCGGGUCCUCGCGUGCUUCCUCUCAGGUAAUUUGUAAUGUAUGACCCUUAGCUUUUGGCACCUCCUCCUUUUUAGUUGGAGUACCCUUUGAUUGUUGAACAUGGGCUUGACUUCUCGCCGGUUGUUGAACAUAAGUUUGACUUCCCAUCAUCUGACUAGUAAGAGUAGGGCAUAAACGCUUCUUGUGGCCAGUAAUACCGCAUGCACAGCAAGUAACAUCCUUUCUCGGACAAGCUGGCUUUAUAUGACCCUUUUCUCCACAUCCAUAACAGAAAAUGGAUUACUUUUCUAUUUUGCAUUGGCCUGGAUGAUUCCUUCCACAAACACGACAUAAAGGCGAUUGAAUAGAAAGAGAUUGUGAUCUACCGCGUCCACGAAAGGCAUUUUUAGUUUGCACUUGAUUACCAGGUUCAGUCCGAACGGAUUGAGCUGGUAGAAAAGAAGGAACAUAAACAGUUCUCUCAGUACGUGGAUGCUUCAGAACAGUAAAAGUGGCACCACGUAAUUCUAAGUCAUGGAUUUCGUGUCGUAGUUCCUCCAUGAAUAAUUGAAUCAAUCUUCUCGUCUUCAGUUGGAAUAUACUUUGUAGCAAACCUUGCUCUUUGAUUAAACUAAGUUUCAUACUCAUUCACAAUCAUUCCUCGCUGUUUAAGCUCGAGGAAUUCCUUCUCCAAUCUCCCUUCAUGUCUAUAGGACAAUACUUCUCUAGCAAACGAGUUUUAAACAUUUCCCAGGAUAAAUUCUCCUGGUCAUACCCAUUAAGAGCUUCAUAUGUGGCUUCCCACUACACCAAGGCUUCUCCGAUGAGCAUUGCAGAAGCAUAAUUAGCCUUAUCUUCAUUAUCCACUUGAGAAAUACGAAACACUUUCUCUGUGUUCUGGAUCCAGGUAAGAACAACAAUGGGAAUAAGAACACCGGAAAACUCUGUAGCACCACUACUCUUGAAAUCUUUGGACGAGCGACGCUUCACCUCUCAUUUUGAAGAUUCUCCAGUGGCUCUCUCUUUUCCUUUAUCACCAUUCUUUUUGUGUUCUUCGAGAGUGUGUUGAAUAACACCAGUAAUUUUACCCAAGAGUCGCUACUCACGAGGAGAUACUGGAGUAUUCAUUUCCUUGGGUUGAGGACCUCCACCAACCUCAGGGGUAUGGCUACCAACCUGUUUAGGCAUUGCUCUGCAAUAUGGAGUAACAUUGUAUUUUAGAACAUUAAGGUUUAUCAUUACCUAAUACUUUUACUUAAAUAUUUCCUAUGGUUUGUAUCCAUAUACUUACAAAGAAUCCGUUCAUAUAUUGACCUUCCAAUAGUUUAAGUCUAAAUACCAAUCCGUGGAAUUUAGUUCACUUAAACUACUGCUCUGAUACCAUGAUUGAAAGACCCAUACUUUCGUAUUUGACAAUUGUUAUUCCAAAACAUGCUACAUGCAUAUUCAUAAAAACAAUAUUUUAUAUUGAUAAAGUGAUUACAAACUACUGGAUACAAACCGACUAUUUCAAAGUGUUAUAUAUUACAUAACUUCACAGGAUUCUAUAGUUUUUAUACAUAUGGGAGUACAAAAUACAAUAGUUUCAAACUAUUCAAAAAUCUUCUAUCAUUACAAUAGUUUCAAGCUAUUCAAAAAUCUUCUAUCAGUAUAUAACUAUACUGGAUGCUUAUCUCCUGCAAUUUGUUAAACGUUGAGAGGGUAAGCGGUGACACUUAGUGAGUUCAAUAAUAGAUACAAUAUAACGUUAUGUCAUAUAUAUACUUUAGUAUGGUAGAAGCAAAGAGGAACAAGGAACAACAAAGGCAUAUGUGAAUCAUGUGACAAACUUUUCAUAUCAAUCAUUGAUUUGAUUCAAAGAUAUACAAUCAAUGAGAAAUAAGAAUUUCCAUACAUGAUAUACAUCAGUAUCGCUUUGGCCCAAAUGGCAUAGAAGACAUACAACUUCGGAUUAACAUUUUGGUAGAUUUCAGGCUUAUAACUCUGUCUAACCUUCUUCCAAUACCAUAGAAUAGAAAUCAUUCUCUUACGGAGACAUGUUCUACAUGGCCAAAGGCUACAUACCAGUACCAAUGUGAAUCUAUGUUCUUUCACUGAUCACAUUGUCAAAGGUAUUUAUUUGCUAUUAAAAAUAGCGAAUAAAAAAAUAACACAAGAAAAUAACCCAGAAUAAUAACACUGAAAAGCACAUAACACAUAUAACACAUAACAUACAAUUGUUCUUAUAUAUUAAACUCACCGUGAAAUAACCGAGGGUUAAAAUAAUAAUUGGGCAGCACUUCGUUACUAUAAUUGGCUUUCUUUGUUGAAAACCUAGAGUUUUCUUGAUAACCAGGCCUUGUGAGGGUUAGGCUUCAAAACCGAAAAGAUAAAUUUUUUGGGGUGUUUGGGAACUUCGGAGAGUGUUUCGGGUGUUGAAAAUAAUACCGGGGCUUUAGGGGAAGUUGAAAUAGUAGAAAUAUGAGUUUAGGGGUGAAAAGGGAGCAUUUUCCAAAAUUUACCCGGGAGGUCUCGCACCCUUUAUAUAGGUGCGAGCCUCGGAUCUGAAGCAAGAGGAAAGGGGCAGGUGGCUGCGAAGCUGCGAGGCUCGGUAUACGCGGCAGUAGGGCGAGGUUCGGAUGCGAGGGUCGGAACAGGUGUGCGCUUCGGAUUGGUCCAACACUUUGGACACGGGGCGGAGUCAGAUGCGAGGCGCGUCGGAAGGCCAUUGGCCCACAUCCUUGGUCAAAUCAGCCAGCGACACGCAUCGGACUCAGCGAGUGACUCAUCGAGAUUGGCCUUAUCCUUGCGAGAUUCCUUGGGAAUUGUGCCCAACUCUUCUAAAAUCCAUAACUUUCGCAUACGGACUCUGUUUUUUACGUUCUUUAUAUGCACGCGUAGGUAAAAUUAUGCUAUGCAACUUUCGUUUAGACUUUGUCGGCUAAUUUUGAAUUUAAUUUUAAUAUUAUUAUUUUUAACAAACCGGGACAGGAAAAUCUGUUAAAAAUUCAAAACUUCUUCAGCCGACGUCCGUUUUCGUCAGACUUUUUACCGUUGCACUACUAUUGACGUGACUUUCGAUUCUCGUUUAGGUUGUAUCGGCUAAAAAUCACUCGAUCUAAAAUUCAAGUUUUUAGUUGUCUAUUGCUAAGCUAAAACUUAAAAAAAA
rnacentral:lncRNA from 1 species